UUUUUUUUUUUUGAGUUGGUUCUCAAUUUCAGUCUUGAAAAUGUUGAACAUGUCCAAUGACUAUGAUUUUUCUGAAAUGAGAUAUAUGUAGCUAGAUCUUGAAAAAUUCUCUAUAAAUGUUAUAAAAUAUUGUUGACCAUUCCAAGCAGAUAUAGGAAAUGGCUCACAAAUAUUUGUAUGUAUAAGGUCUAAGACGUCCAAUGACCUAUUGGUUUCAAAUCUUCUUUGAUUGGUUUGUUUCUCUUUUAUACAGUUAACACAAUCAUCAAAAUUUAUAAAGUUCAAGCGGUCAAGAAUUUCAUUUGAUGCAAGUCUUUCCAUUCUCCUUUUGGAGAGAUGACCCAAUCUCUUAUGUUAUAAUACAGUCGAAUUCUCAUUGGUUAAUUUUCCCUUUACUCCUCUAGUACUCAAAUGCAAAGAUUGAUUAAAUAAACCAAUUGUAUCAACUAAAUAUAGAUUAUCAUAGUGCAAUAAAGAACCAGAACUAACUAAUUUUGAAUCAUGAAACAAUUUAAAUUUUUCAUUUUCAAAUGAACAAAAAUAAAUAAAUUUGUCCAAAAUAGAAAUAGAAAUUAAAUUUCGUUGAAAUGACGUUAUAAUAAAUGUUUCAUUAAGAUCCAAAUAAAAUCCGGUAUCUAACAAUAAUUUAAAAACUCCUAUUGUCUCAACUAAACUGUUUUGCUAUUGCCUACAUAGAUAUAUCUUUUAUUAUCAUUAGACUUUCGACAAUUCAGGUAAUCCUGUAUAGACACACUGAUGUGAGUUGUUACAUCAAAAUCUAACCACUAUGUGUUUCUAGGUGCCAAAGUUAAAUUAACCUUAGAACAAAUCAAAUUAAAAAACAUAUUUUUCUUAACAUGCUAAGUAUGAUAGUUGGUGCAAUGCUUCUUUUUAUGCCCUUCAAUUCCACAAAAGAAAGAACCGUUCUUUUUCGGAUUAACCGAUUUCUUUUAUUGUGUCUUUUGAGGUGCCAUACCUACAGCAUUUUUAUCAUUCUUUCUUUUAUGUCCCUUACUUUUAUUAUUAGUGAUUGAAAUCAUAUGAGCACUCUCUAUCUGAUCUUAUUUCAACAUUUUUUCUUCCUUUACACAGUGUGAGAUGAGUUCAUUUAGAGAUCAAGUCUCUUUUUGACCAUUGUAACUUACUUUAAAUUGGUAAAUUAUAUAGGAAAAGAUAUCAAAACCAAAUGCACUAGUAACUUUUCAGAAAGUACUAACUUAAGUACAUUUAACUUAGAAGCAGGAUGAGACAUCUAUAUGAUGUACUCUUCAAUAUUACCUCUAUCACUAUAUUUUAUUGAAAUUAGGCAUAUCAAAAGCGUACUUAUUUCAGUCUUUUCAUUUUUGACAAACCUUUUUUUAAUGUCUUGAAGGAAAGCCUUAGCGGUAGUUGUUGUUUUGGUAUUGUUCCUCUGAAUGCUUCUGAAACGGCCUUUUUAAUGAUCAUCAAACACAAGUUAUUUGAUUUCUCCCACCUUUCCUUAUCCUUCUUUUUAUCAGAGGUACUUUGAUCUGUAAGAGGUGGAGAAGAAUCAGCACUUAAUGCAAGGUCGAGAUCCAUUAUUUUAAGAACUAUCAAGAGAUUUUUUUUUUCAGAAUUUGAAGUUUGUGCUAUUCAACGUAGGAAUAUUAUUGAUAUUGGUAGUAUAUUUGUAAGAUCAUGCACAACUGAAUAGAAACUAUGAAAUAAUUAAAACAAGUUCACAUAGACCAAAAUUAUAAUAAAUUCAAAUAAAAGUAACCACAUCUCAAGAUAUCGAUGUUCCAUUAAUAUUUUAUCUUUGGAUAGAAAUAUUAACAUCUAAAUGAUAUCUUGGCGUAGUAAUAAACAUUGGCAAUAAUAACAUGUCAAAACCAAUUUAUAAUUCACAUGUAAAAAUCUAAAUAACCAUCACUGUUUAUUACGACAAGUGCACAUGCAAUUUUUUUUAAAAAUUGACUUUCAUUUGGAUCGAUCAAUAUUCACAAAAUUACAAAUACCCAACUAGUUAUAUUCUAGAACAAAUUAAUUUGCACGAAAGAGGUCAUUUUGGUGGCAUAUUGUUUCAAUUAAUUUAUUCUAAAAAAUAUAUAAUUUACUAAUAUUCAAAUUGAAAAUUACACAAAUUACACAAAAAUUUUGAUUAAAGUCAACUUUGAUCAACUCUAGUCAAAACAUGAUCAAACUAGUCAAAUUUGGUUGAACCAAUCAAUUCUGAUCAAACAUGGUCAAACUAAUUAAACUAGUCAAAUUUGGUCAAACCAGUCAAAUGGAUCAAAACUUGUUGGACUAAAAGUCUAUAUUCAUAACUUGAUUCAAAUUUAUCAUUUAAGUCCAAAUUUUUUUUUUGAAAUCCAUAAAUGCCUUAUAAAACUAUAUAUUUAAUAGGCCAACCUUAUGAAUUUUGUAAGGUUUAAAUGUGUUGUUUAACUUUAUUGGGUUUAUUCAAAUUAAAGAACCAUAAUUUGCUUAACAUAAAUAUAGACAUAUUCUCUUACACAAUGAAACAAGUCAAGAAAAUCCAAGUGUUAACCAAAUUAAGCUAUAAAGGUUCAUAUUGAAGACUAAUUGUAUGAAUUUUUUUUAUUUAAGUUUGAUUACAUACAAGAAGUUGGCCAACCAAUGUAUCAUAAUAAAUAAUGAAUUAGCCAACUAAAACAUCAUAGUAAACAGUAAAUUUGUAUAACAACUAAAGUAUAACAACUAAAGUUUGGUUACGAUGGAACCCACUAGAUUCAUGUGUAACCAAAAUAAUGAAUCGUAGGCGUGACUUGACCGAAGACAUAAACACAUAACAUUAGAAACACAAUUCAUGAAUUUCACAGGUUCACAUAAUAAUCAUAUAUUUAAGAAAACAAUGAGUCCGCUACCAGUGGCCAUGCAAACAAAACCAAAAGUACUGUAGUUCUUUAUUAAAAAAAACUCAAAAACUAUGAAUUAUUAAAUCCAAAUUAUUUCCCAAUAAUCAACCAUAACUUGCUCCGAUAGCACUUGUUAGUGGUUGUUUAUAUUGACUUUUAGUGAAAAUCAUCACCUAUUAAAUCCAAAAUUUUCAUGGUGAUUAUUGAGAAAUAAAUUAAUAACAAAAUUGUGGAAACGUACCUGGAUUCAUGUUGAUUAACUUGUAUUUCAAUCCUUAGAGAUUUUGAGAUGGUGUUUCAGAUCAACACAUAUUUGCUAAUCCCUUGAGAGAACCCUUUAGUUUCUCUCUGGUAUCUUUGCUGACGAUAUGAUAUUAGAAAAGAGUUAUUUUGUGGUACUAAAAAAUACGACAAUAAGAAGAAUACAUGUGACCCAGGGACCAUAACCUUAUUUAUAAAUAACUUACCUAUAAUCUUUUGGUUUUCUAUGUCAGCCCUCCAUAGAAAUAGAAAUUGUCCUUAAGUUUCUACACAUUAAAGGUUCACAUCUUAUUAAAUAUAUUAAAAUCCAAACUAUAAUUGACCAUUUUAAUUGAAUUUAACCGUAUUUGAUAGUUUGCAACACAUAAUUAUUCACAUAUAAGUCCAAUGUUGGAUUAAGUACUCAACAAGAGGUUCCUAGAUUUGUCAGUAAAAACCAACGAAUCCGUUGAUUUUUGAAAACUUGACAAUGUGCUUAUUAACCAAAAAUUACAUGCUCAUGAUGGCGCUAAAAGACCAUUCAACAAUUUUUGUGUCAUUGGACUCGACAAUGAAUAUUCAAAAUUACAAUAAACUUUAAAUAAUUUAUGAAACUCAUGAAUAGCACCCUCAAAUAUUUUACAACUAAGAUAAUAACUUUUUUGCACCUUGGGAACACCUCAAAUAAGUUUUGGAUAAAUUACACUAACCUUCCUCUAGUUUUGUAAAAGAUAGGGACCUCCCUCUUAAUUUUACAAUAAAAUAGACCUCCUAUGACGACCCCAUUUCUCUUUAGGGCGAACGCUUGGGUUUCGGUGGGCCGCCUGCCUAGCUCUCACCAGGGUUCAAUACUAGUCAAAUCUAAAUUUAAAGCUAAUCAACCAAUAAUAAAAUCGAUAUAAAGAAAAGUCGCAUCCUUAUAUAAUCAUUCAAGUCUUACAUCACAAAAUUCCCAAAAGGUACAUCAAAAUUUUCAAAAUACAACCAUCCAAAGUUGACUAAACCAUUUACAUCCAAAUUCUAAUCAAAAGGUAAUCAAGUCAGCUUCUCCAAAAAUCUUUCCAUUCCGAGCUCCUGUUCAGGAAAACAAACUGGAGGUGAGCUAGCUCUCAGUGAGACCAAGAAAAGCAUACAAACACAUAAGUUCAAGUAACAAUAACACUUGCACAAGAAAUAUAGUUAGAAAGUUCAUGUAAUUCACAAAUAAUAGUAAAGCACAAUCAAUGAGGAUACGGGAGCUCUCAGGAGCUAAAUUCCUAUUGCUUUGAACAAGGCUUGAUCUAAUACCUUCACGUGAUGACACUCCGUCAACCGGGUAGGUAGCAAGUCCGUAGAAACCCCGCUUACAUCCUCCAUCCAUCGUUUCACCCUCUCGGAUCCGUAACCAAACACUCACUGGAAGGGCAAUACUACUCGAGUAUGCCAAGCAAGAGCUCAAAAAUUCAAGCUUAUAAUUUUCUCAUGGUUCACCAAGUUUCUCGACCAAGCCCAUGCCAGCUCGAUUCGUAAAGUUAGCCAAUGAGUUUUGGGCAUCCCCAGGUGUACAAGUACAAUUUGCCAAGUUCACGCAAUUCAAUUGUCAACUCAUGUUCACGCAAGUCAAUUGUCUAGUUAUGUAAAAGAGAACAAGUACGAUAAAGUACACACUCAUCUCGACAAGUCCAAAUCACUUCAUUAACAAGAAACAAUACAAGUAUUUAGCAACAAUUCAUGCACUUGACACUCACCAAUUCAAAAGCAAGUGAGUAAAUAAAACCCUUUAGUUGUCCACACCGGGAUUCCUUUCGAAACCCUCUUGAGUACCUGAAAAAAUAGCGACUAACCAUCACUCACAGAUACUCUAGACCGCUUAACAUUCAAGGAAGAAAAUGCACUAGCUUAAAACUUAACAACGCCUUAAAAGAGUCUUAAUUCAUUGAAAAUCAAGAUUCGAAAAUGAGGAUUUAAAGUCACAAGGGAAACUUGUAUCAUCCAUGAAAUCAAAUUUAAAAUGGACUAUCAAUUUCAAAAGGAAGUUGGGAGUUCUUAAAAGUUCAUUUUUUAAGAAAUCAGAAAUUUUCAACUUUACACAACAAUAUUUGGAAAAUCAUAUCUCGAGUUUGGCAAGUCCAAAAUAGGAAACUUUAUACCAUUGAAAACUAGAUUCAAAGUACUAAAUUUUUCCCGAAAACACUUUUCCCAGAUCCCAACCAAAAAUCAUUCGAAUUUCAACUCAAACUUACUAUUUCAUGAAGACAGGGCAGAACCAGUUCUUGUUUUUUAGCAAAGUUUGAAAAUUUAGCAAAUUUCACAGGUAUUGAAUUAACCUCUGAAAUUUUAAACUCGGUAAGAGUUUCAAGUAAAGUUUCAAACACAACAAGCGGAACUAAAUUUGGAUUUUUGAACAGCAAGAUACAACUAUUUGACGAUGGCGAGAUUUCACGACCUGUUCAACAAUUUUCCAGUUACCAGUUUCGACACAGUUUUGAAAUCAGACCAUAUCUAACUCUACACAAGUCCAAAUUGAGAAUGGUUCAUGGGUUUAGAAACUAGAUUCAAAAUGUUUCAAAUCACCAGAAGACAUCGUUUCCAAAAUCCUUUCACAAGAGGGACGAAAUUAAGACACAAGAUGCAACUACACAGUUUCUCUUGGACAACCAGGUAAAACAGGUCAGUCCACUUUGCUAAUUCGCUACGGCUCACUCAAAACGAAUUAGCAGAGGAAUUUUAUACCGUUGAAAAAUAGAUUUUUAGUUCUACAACAUCGCAGAAGACACUUUUCAGAGAUUUUGUGAGGACCCGUAAAAUUCCCUUUAUAUCAUUUUAUUCUACUUCCUUUCAUGCAUUUUCUUUAUUUUAUUUUACUACCUUAAUUUUCUAGACAUUUUUAUAAGUGAAUAUAGUUUUUAAAUCAUUUUUCUGGUAUAAGUUAGCUCAUGUUAAUUUGAAGUUGUAUGAAGGACGUGGGACCUACUAGUGCGGUUAGUGCGAUGAAAUUUUGACGAUUAGUUGAAGUUUUGCAUUAAGGGUUAUUAUUUUACAAUGUGUUAAGAGAUAAUUAGAGGUUAACUAGAUAGAUUAACCUUUCGAAGACAAAGAGAUGAGAACAAAACCCUAAAAGCCAAGUGUCAUGAAAUCAAUGGAUGUUAGACUUUGACCCAACUUUCUUCCACCUUUACUAAAUACAAAUUUGACCAAAAAUCAUCCUCACUUUCUUGUAUCUUGGCCAAACCAUAGAGGGAGAAAAGGCAGGGAAAACUUCAUCUUCAUCAUCCAUUUUCUUGCUUCAAUCUUGAGUUCUAACCGAUUAAAUCGCAAACCCUUCCAUAAGAGCGUUAAUUAAGGAGGAUUCAAGGUGUUGGUGGAGUGGUUUUUGAAGAAGAAACCCUAACCUACCAUCUUUCCUAAGGUUCCAAGGUAACUUACCUAGAAAUCCCUUUUUACUCUUAAUAAUUGUAAAAUUGUGGAGUAGAGUUGUUAAAUAUGUAGUUUUGUGAGAAAGUUCACAGUUUAAGGUAGGUUUAUGGAACAUUUCAGUUUUUAUGGUGAUUUUUCUGCCCUCAUGUGAUGAGUAAUGAUUGGUUAUUGUUUAAUAGGUUUGUUAUGUGUAAUAUUGAGUUUUUAUAUGCUAGUUUUACUUGCCUACUGUGGGUGCUCACCUCGGCUGGUUCUCAAUUGCUGAGGUGAACCCUGUCUGUCCCUCACCCAAGCACGGUCAUGUCCCGCACACGACCCAUGACUUCGGCCAGAUCUUUGGCCGAACCAUUGGGAUGACCUCUGGACUCCCACCUCGGCUGCACGCUGAUGAUGUCAGCACCUCUGACAUCACCCAGAGCCAUUGCUUUAUCUGAAAAGUACCGGAUACUUUUAAUGGCUAUUGCGUAAGGCUCCCCGUCACCCUGCCCAAGCGGCUACAGUGUCAGAGUCAGGCCUCCUGACAAGGAACAGAGCCGUAAUGCCAGGAUGUGGGUCCUACCAGCAUGAGCCCCCGUCCUACCUUUCACUCUCACUCUAUAAAUACUCCUCAUGUACACCUAACAAGUAAGCACACUGUUCAUUCUCAUAUACUACUAUUUCUCUCGUUCUCUUACUAAUUUGAUCGUCGGAGUGAUCCCAGGGGAGAAGCCCCGCCUUCCACUUCGGACAAGUGAAUUCACCUCACCUCAUUUCAGAGAGGACUUAUUUAGGUCGGACCAACAACCUACCAAAAAUCACCUCUUCAAUUGGCGCCGUCUGUGGGAAACGAAACUACAGUUAAAAUGAGAUCCAUGUGCUCCAGAAGCGGAAGAGUUCAAUCAACCGGAGUUGGGUAGACCUCGGGAGCCCAGCAAGAUCGCAUUUCUGAACACCAAUGGUCCCCCAGGACCCAGCCCGCUAACGAGGAUGCCAUCGCCAAGAUGGCCGAGUUCGUAGCAGAUAACCCCAACAUUUUCGAGGAACUAGGGAGGUACUUUAAAAGGCAGGGGAAAGAAAAAGCUGAAUCUUCCAAGAGGAGAUCAACAAAGUCCCCUGAAGUACCUUCAGGUGAGGAUUCUGACGAGGGGCACCUCUCUCGGAGUACUUCCAAGCGCGCCUCUUCCAAGGCGACAUCCAAAAUUGCCUCUAUUUUCCGGGUGUUUUCCCGAGAACUGCUAGGAAAAUGAGCUGAGGACCCACCUCGGCGUCCCGGAGGUUUAGCAGCCGACUAUAUGAGGGCUCCGCCCUUUACUGAUAACAUCAAUGGAGAAAUGGUACCCCCAAAUUUUAAACUUCCAGCCUUGCACUUCUACGACGGCCGAGGUGGCCUCGAGGAUCACCUCCGCGCCUUCAUCUCUGCUUUCCGACUCUAUUGCGUCCCCGACGCCGUGAUCUGUCGAGUUUUCCCCAUUUUCCUACAAGGGACAGCCCGAAAAUGGUUCUGGGGCUUAGAGGCGAGGAGCAUUUCCUCCUUGGACGAGUUGAUAGAUUGGUUCAUCCACCGCUUUGUAUCGUCUCGUCCAAUCACGAAAACUUCAACUUACCUCUUGAACCUGCAACAGGCUCCCGGCGAGUCACUGCGCUCGUAUGUGCAGAUACCUGAUCAAAAUGAGCAGGUAACCAUCGCUGCCUUCACCAACGGGCUAAUUGCUGGGAUCUUCAAUGCCGAGAUACAUCGGGAUUACCCCCGAACACUUCGAGAACUCUGGGAAGGGGUAGACCAAGGAAUCCGAAGUGAGGACCUAAACCGCAUGAAGCGAGAAACUCAAGCUGCUCGUACUGGGCAAGUGUCACGGAGGAAAAGAGACACCGGCCGAGUCAAGCAGGGCCCCAGUGGCUCAUCGAACUAAUUCCGAGACCGUCGGAGUGUCUUUGAUCGGAUUGUAAAAGGCAGGUCGUCCACUUCGGACGCCGAACUAACACCGCUCAAUUCCAGCAGGUCACACGUCUUGGCGGUGAUGAGGCAAAAUCACCUCGGCCGAAACCCUCCUGAGAUCCCGGGGAGGAGAGAUAGGAGGAACUCCAACCUCUAUUGUGCCUACCACUGAGAUGUCGGGCACGAGACCGAAGACUGCAACGAUUUCAAGCGAGAAAUCGAAAACUUAAUCCGCCAAGGAUACUUGAAGCAAUUCGUCCGCAAGGAUGGAAUCCUCAACCAAAGCGCCUCCCACCGGGAGAGCCGGGGCCCUCGCCGAGAAGACAGGCGGGACACCAAGAUUCAUUGCCGAGGUCCCGAAGAUCGCAGGAAAGACCAGCGCCCACCGUGUGACGGAUCACUGGGCUACGGCCCUAACAUCGCCGGGGUGAUCAACACAAUCGCGGGGGGUCCGACGGGAGGAGACAGCCAGAACUCCAGAAAACGGACAUACCGCCAGGCCGGCAUGGAGGCGGCCGAGCCGAGCUCCCAGCUAUCCGAGGUGAUUACCUACGGUUUCAGCGACCCUAUCCCUGCGGCCUCCAGCAAUAACGAAACUCUAGUGAUCGAAGUUCUCACCAAUAAUUACAUAGUCAAAAAGGUCUAUGUUGACCCCGGAAGCUCGGUAGACAUCUUGUACUACCGAACUUUCGAAAGUUUGAAACUGAUCAGAGAGCAACUCACUCCUGUCAAAACUCCCCUUGUUGGUUUCGGGGGACACGUCGUCCACCCGGAGGGCAUGGUGACCCUGAUGGUGACUAUCGGGCGUCAUUCCCGCUGCCGAACUGUACCUGUCAGCUUUGCGGUGGUCAGAACAGACUCUCCUUACAACAUGCUAAUAGGCCGGCCCACGCUUAACGCUCUGAGAGCUGUCUACUCCACCUACCACCUGAGUUUCAAAUUCCCAACCCCUGCGAGUGUGACCGAGGUGAGCAGCGACGUGAACGCCGCCCGGGAAUGCUACCUCGCCACCAUCCAGGCAGCGGUCACACCCCGAACCGCAUCGAGAGCUGAAGAAAAGAGGCCAGCGGUCCUCUCCGUAGACAGCAUCGACCCUCAGAAGACAGGAGAACCCAACAGGCUUGAGCCCGGGGAUGAGGUGGAGCCAGUGGUUUUGGAUGAGGUAAGACCAGACCAAGUGGUCCAAGUGGGGGCCGGACUCCCCUCGCCCCUAAAGGAAGAAAUGAUCUACUUGAUAAAGGACCACCGAGACGUCUUCGCGUGGUCCGCUGAUGAAGUGGUCGGAGUGCCACCCGAGUUCAUGAUCCAUCAGCUCAACGUUAAUCCACAGGCCCGUCCUGUGAGGCAGAAACGACGGCACUUCGGCUCCGAACGCAGCAAGGCCAUAUCCGACGAGGUCGACAAACUCUUGCCCGUCAAAAUGAUCCAUGAGAUCCAAUACCCCACCUGGCUAUCCAAUCCAGUCAUGGUCAAAAAGGACACCGGAGGAUGGAGAAUGUGUGUGGAUUUCACAGAUCUCAACAAGGCCUGCCCCAAAGAUUGCUACCCUCUGCCGAGGAUAGACGCUCUCGUCGACUCGGCAAUGGGACACGAGGUUCUCUGCUUCCUAGAUGCCUUCAAAGGGUAUCAUCAAAUAGGAAUGAGUGAGGAGAACCAAGAGAAGACGGCGUUCUACACCGACCAAGGUGUCUAUUGCUACACUACCAUGCCAUUCGAGUUAAAAAACGCCGGGGCAACCUAUCAAAGGCUGAUCAACUGACUCUUCAAAUAUCAGAUCGGCCGUAAUGUGGAGGCCUGUGUGGACGACAUCCUCGUCAAAAAUUUGACCACUUCGGCUUUCCUGUCGGAUUUGAGGGAGGUCUUCGGCGUCCUGCGGGACUCAAGGAUGAAGCUAAAUCUCAAAAAUUACGUCUUCGGCGUCACCUCCGGAAAGUUCUUGAGGUAUCUGGUUUCCCGCCGGGGAAUCGAUGCCAACCCCAACAAGGUCAAGCCAUUCAGGACAUGUCUCCACCUCGGAACCUCCGAGAAGUCCAGAGGCUGAAUGGACGUCUGACCGUACUGAACCGCUUCCUGUCCCAGUCUGCUGAGAAAGCUCUGCCGUUCUUUAAGGUGCUGAAGAAGGCUGGUCAGUUCGCCUGGACUAAAGAGUGCUAGGCUGCCUUCGACAAGUUGAAACAGUACCUACACCACCUGCCCACUCUCGCUACACCUCGGCCCGAGAAGAAACUGUACCUCUACCUAUCCGCAGCCGACGAGGCUGUCAGUGCUGUGCUCAUCCGAGAUGAGGGCACUCAAGUGCCGGUCUACUAUGUCAGCCGAGCCCUUCGCGGGUCGGAAACUCGGUACACCCAGGCGGAAAAACUCGUAUCGGGACUAGUCCACGCAACUCGGUGGCUAAAACCCUAUUUCCUAACUCAUCCCAUUUCCGUUAGGACAUACCAGCUUAUCCGGCAGAUAUUGGUGCGUCCCGAGGCUUCCGGGCGCCUUACCAAGUGGGCUGUCGAAUUGGGAGAGUAUGAUCUGUCAUAUGAGCCACGCACUGCCAUAAAAGCUCAAGUUUUAGCCGACUUCCUUGCCGAACUCACCUUCACGGAAGGUCGAGAACCCACCUCCGCCAUUGCCGAGGUGUCCACCCCACACCUGUGGACGUUGUAUGUGGACGGAUCCUCUAAUGGGGAUGACAACGGAGCAGGACUGCUCCUAAAGGACCCCCAUGGGGAAGUGUGCUCAUUUGCCUUCCGUUUUGAUUUCCCCGCCACCAAUAAUGAAACUGAGUAUGAGACCUUAAUCGCUGGACUCCAGCUAACCCGCAGACUCGGUGCCCAACGGAUCCACGUCCGCAGUGACUCCCAACUGGUAGUAUUCCAAGUUCUUGGUGAAUAUGAGGCCAAGGAUGAGACCAUGCAACGGUAUCUCUCCAAAGUUCACCAGCUCACCUCAUACUUUCAAUCUUUCGAAAUCCAAAGAAUAUCCCGGUCCCAGAAUAGGCAGGCUGAUGCCUUAUCCCGGCUGACUUCCACAUCAUUCUCUGACCUCAACAAGACUAUUUUGGUAGAGGUGCUGAACGAGCCAAGAUACAUGCAAGAGGUGGCCUGUCCCGUACACUCUGGAGAUACAUGGAUUAGCCCGUUCAUCCUUUUCUUAAGUUAGGGAAUCCUCCCCGAGGACCGAGUCGAGGCAAGAAAGAUACAACGCAAAACUGCUCGGUACGCUCUCCGCGAGGAAGAGCUGUAUAAAUGCUCCUACCUCGGCCCGUGGCUGAGGUGCGUUACGCCUGAGGCAGGACGCCAGAUCCUUCACGAGAUCCAUGAGGGCCUAUGUGGGGCUCACGUCGGCCACAGAAUGUUAGCUAAGAAGACUUUGCUCCUUGGGUACUUCUGUCCCUCCGUUCGACAAGACGCCCAAGACCCUGUUCUCGGCUGCCCUUCUUACCAAGUCCACGCCUCUGAGCACCACCAGCCCUCAAAUUUCAUGGUUCCCAUCACCUCACCCUAGCCGUUUGAGCAACGGGGGACAGACAUCAUCGAUCAUUUCCCUAAAGCUGUCGGGGGUUAUACCUUUCUUGUAACUGCAGUGGAUUACUUCACUAAAUGGGUCGAGACCGAAUCUCUAAGGACCAUCACAGGGUUGGCGGUUCAAAAGUUCUUUUAGAAAUGCAUUGUUUGCUGCUUCGGCAUACCUCAGGUCAUCAUCUCAGACAAUGGAAGACAGUUUGCCGAGAACCCAUUUAGGACUUGGUGCGAGAACCUUGGCAUCAAGCAAAACUUCACUUCUGUAGGCCACCCCCAAGCUAACGGUCAAGUGGAGAAUUUCAACCGAACCCUCUUACAUGGUCUCAGGACCCGAUUACACCGACUUGGAUCAUCGUGGGUGGAAGAACUGCCCAGUGUCCUGUGGUCAUAUUGAACCACGCCGAGGUCAGCCACGCAAGAGACCCCUUUUUCCUUGACCUAUGAAGCCGAGACUGUCAUCCCUGUCGAGAUCCUUACACCCAGUCCCCGGCUGACAGUUUAUGCAGCCGAGGUGAACGAAGAAGAGAGACAGUUGGACCUCGACCUCGUCGACGAAAGAAGGGAUAUUGCCUCAACUCGGGUAGCUUCCUACAAGAACACCCUAACCCAAUAUUACAAUACCCGUGUCAGACACCGUCGAUUCCAGACAGGAAACUUGGUUCUCAGGAAAAACUCAGUCAGCCGAGUUGAAUCACAAGGAAAAUUGUGCCCGAAAUGGGAGGGCCCUUACCGAAUUGUAGAAUCUAAUCUUAGUGGAUAUUGUAAAUUGAGCUACCGAGAUGGCACACUAGUGCUAAGAACUUGGCACGCUGAGAAUCUUAAAUUGUAUUAUGCUUGAACAUUUCAUCCAGUUAUGACUUCAGAUGUUUUGUUAUUUUUCAACAUUUUGGUGUUACACAUCCGUUAUUAAAAAAUAAGGGGGACAAGCAGGGGACGAAGCGAGAAAUAAAAAGUGCCGAGAUGAGAAAAAAUAGACAUUUCAUUUAAUGAAAUAAGGCAAUACAAAAAUACAUGACCGAGAUCGGAAGUGUUGCUAAGCACCUCCCACCUCGGUGUCCCACCUAAACACCUACGAGCCUAGACCCCCGUCUCGGCUCCCUCCCCGGUCUCGGCACCCUCUUGGGCAGCCUUCUCGCUGGUUUCUUCCCCGCCGGAGUGAAGCUGUUCACCCCCUCCUCCGUGCUCUUCGCCGACCUUCUCGCCGACGUCUCCCCCAACUUUUUUUCCUUUAUCCUCCUCAAACACCUCGUCGAGCUCGGACAGCCACUUGUUGAAUUUGUCCCGGAUUUCGGCCAAGUUCCUUCCAGCUUGGAGACCUUCGGCCAUCCGAUCGCACAACUUCUUGGAGUUCUCGUUGUAAUUGGCAUGGUUUCUCAAAGAUUCCAAGGCUUCGGAGGAAAGAUGAGUUGCGGCCUCGUCUAUGGCUGAUGUAAAACCAAACAUAAAACUCGGCGUGAUCAGCUGGCCAAGGUCCUUGGUGAAGGUCUCAGUUUUCCGGAAAGCCUCCAUCGCCGAGGCUCCAGCACUUUCGAGAGCUUGUUCAUGAGACUUCUUCACCUCAUCCCCCCUCUUCUGCUCUUCCUCGAGAGCCGACUGAGGAUGUUGAUGGUAGUUUCGACCUCCUCCUCCUUCGUCUCGGCUUGUUGAAGCCGUCGUUGAAGCUCCGCCUUCUCGGACUCAGACACCACCAGUUUUUUCUCCAACUUGUAGAUCUGAUUUUGCAACUUGCCGGUGUCCUACUCCUCGAGUAGGGCACAGUAUCGGUACGCCAUCUCGGCCAUAAAGGCUGUAUUGGAGGCCGUGGUCACCAUCACGCUUUGAAUCACUUCGGCCGGAGUCAGCUUCCUUGUAAACUCCACGUCCCUCGACAAACUUGACUGCAUCACCAAGUCUUGUGCUACCCGAGAAUGGGUACACCUAUCAUUGACCGAAAGCUUCCACUCCGGACACCAAUGACCGCCGGAGUGGGUCUUGUCUUUUCCGGAAAACACCGGGGGGCUGUGGAAACAGUUUCACAGGGAAGUCCCCGUGACCGCAUUGAAUCGAGCCUUCAAUUGUUUAUCUCGGCCAUGAGGAGGCGGAAGUGCAGCGGUAAACCCGAGGGGCACCCCCUCUGGUACAAAAGAGGUGGAUCCCGUGGCUACGGCGGCCGAGCUGCUCUGGGCUGCCAUGGUUGGAGUGCUUUUAGCAGCAGAACUUUUGGACACCUGCCCUUGGGUCUUCUUUUUCGGCGGGGGCGCUGAGGUCUCACCGGAGCUCUUCCUCUUUGACCUCUUGGCCAUCUCGGCCGAGCCCGAUGUGACGAUGUCGGAUAGUUUUACCACUACACAAAAAACAAACAUUAUUAUUUGCCACAGUCGAAGUGAAAAAAAAGCCAUGAAAGAAAAAUUAUAAGGUUUCGUAAGUUUAGUGGAAAUGAAGGGAGGCUUGUCAGGGUUGAGUAAGGCUCGGCUAAUCCCCCCGUCGACCAGCAUGGCUUCAGGGUAGUUCCAACUGUACAGCCGAAGUCCAGACCUCAUCAACUUCUGGAAGGACUCCUUUUCGUAGUCCUCCGCUGAGUGAUCGGCCUUUGAUUUAAUGGGUCUCCACCAAAAACCCCAAGGGAAGUCCACGGCUGGGACGAAGACGAAGUCACGCUUCCAGUUCUUUAUCAAAGUGGGAGCACCGACCACAAGCUUCGGGAUGGUGUUGUUCCGAUUGCAAAUGUAGAACCACCCUUUAUCUGUCCCGUGUGCCUUGACAAUGUAAUAUCGGCGAAAGAGGUCCACGGUUGGAGUCACCUCCUGAUGUCGGCACAACAUCUCGAAUUCCACCAAGAUGCGAACCGCGUUCGGGGUGAGCUGAGUGAUCCUCAAGCUGAAGUGACAGAGUACAUCCCUGAGGAACUUCGACGUCGGCAUCCUCAGCCCGACCUCCAACUGUUGGAGGUAGAUAGCCACAGUGCCCAACCGGGGCUUAUCGGCCGAGUCAUUCGGCCCAGGCUACGUGAUGAGAUACCCCGGCCUGAAGGGGUACUUCCUUAUCAUCUUUUCGACUCUAUCUUUUCCCAUGCGACUUUUAAACUUCGGCAUCUUGCCGAAGUCAAUUUUGGCGACAUCCUUGGGGGCAACUGGCUCCAGUACGCCCUCAUCUCGGGGUAUUGAGGUUCCGAGAUCGGUAUUAUAUUCGACCUUGGAACCAUCCUCACUCAUCACGGAUGACUCCGACCCCGAGACUGUCCCGGUGACCUCCUCGGCUGAUCCCUCCAUAGCACUGGCCGUCGACCCCUCUGAGCUGGACGAAGUCAUUUCUUCUGGCUCCUCCUCGGCCUGGUAGCUCGGUCUCACGGUCUCCUUAUGGGUUUUAGCCGUUUUGGCCAUAGAUGAAAGAUGAGAUGAAGUGAAAGAUACUUACUAUUGACUACGGAUUCGGACGAAAUUGAUGACUUCGGCUUUGAUCUCGGCUGACAGGACUGAUCUCGGCAACGCUCACGAAUUUUGCAAGACUAAGGCGAAACUAAAAAAAGUGAUGGGCCAUGCAAUGAAAAAGACCUCCUAUUUAUAGGGUUUCGGGGGAAUCCGAAGAGGCGGCAAAAAGGCGAAAAGUCGACCACGUUCAAAUUCAAAGGAACGCGUCUCUCUCUCUCGUCAUUAUGACCCGUCCUGUCGACUGACAUUCUCUCUGCACGAAACGAUGCGGCGGUUACCCGUGGCCGCUAAGCUCACCACGUCCUAUCAACUGACGUGCCCACGUGUCACACCCCCGCAUCUUCCGGAGCCGUUUCGGGACCCUGGUACAAUGAAGCCUCGGCACCUCCCGAGCUCCAGAGCUCCCAAGGCUUGGGGGGCUUAUUGUGGGUGCUCACCUCGGCCGGUCCUCAAUUGUUGAGGUGAACCCCGUCUGUCCCUCACCCAAGCACGGUCAUGUCCCGCACACGACCCAUGACUUCGGCCAGAUCUUUGGCCGAACCAUUGGGAUGACCUCCGGACUCCCACCCCGGCUGCACGCUGAUGAUGUCAGCACCUCUUACAUCACCCAGAGCCAUUGCUUUAUUUGAAAAGUACCGCAUGCUUUUAAUGGCUACUGCGUAAGGCUCCCCGUCACCCUGCCCAGGCGGCUACAGUGUCAGAGUCAGGCCUCCUGACAAGGAACAAAGCCGUAAUGCCAGGAUGUGGGUCCCACCAGCAUGAGCCCCCGUCUUACCUUUCACUCUCACUCUAUAAAUACUCCUCAUGCACUCCUAACAAGUAAGCACACUGUUCAUUCUCAUAUACUACUAUUUCUCUCGUUCUCUUACUAACAUGAUCGUCGGAGUGAUCCCAGGGGAGAAACCCCGCCAUCCACUUCGGACAAGUGAAUUCACCUCACCUCAUUUCAAAGAGGACUUAUUUAGGUCGGACCAACAACCCACCAAAAAUCACCUCUUCACCUACGAAAAAUUUCAGUCAGUGUGUAUCAAUUUCAGAUUAGGGUUUCCAUUUAGGAAUGAUUCUGCCCUGUUUUUGGACCCAAACUGACCUGUAUAUUCGUCUAUGAUAAAGGCCGAAUUAGCUCUUGCUCAAAACAUGAAAGUUGUAGGAAAUUGAGCUAAAUAUCUACUUAUAAAAUUUCAAUUCAAUCAGAGCACUGUAUCUUAUGAAAUAACUAAAAUACCCUUGACUGCCCAAUGCCCUAUUUCACUGACAGUUUUCUGUUUUCUUUGAGAUUUCAAUUUUUGACCUUGAAAAUGCAAGAACUGGAUAUUGAUGUCUUCAUAGGAAAUGUAAGUCUAUAUCUUAGUUUCGAAACACCAUAAAAUGUACCCCAAUCCGAUAAGCGUAGCUUUAGUUGUAACCAAAAGGCUGAGAGAUGGCAAACUUGCUACUUAGCCAUUCGUCUUUAAAACUAAUUUUCAGCUUUGAUUUUGAUGGGUGCAUUGCUAGAAUUAACUUAUAUUUGGAUGACUUUGAGCCUAGUUGAGGAGCUAUUGUGUUAAGUUUACUUAUGUUUUUAAUUGGGCUGAGUUGAGGAAAAAAAUGAAGCCAUAAAUGGCUGGAAAAUAACAAAAUACAAAGGGCAUGCUAUCCAAAAUUUUAGGGCUACUUGAUUCCUUUGAGUUUGGGUUGACUUUGGUUGGAAAUGAAAGGCUUUGGGGAUGUUCAUGUUUUUAAGACCAACCGCUACCUUUUUACUCCAAAAUCACAUUGUUAUUGACUAGGCAUACGACUUGUAGUCGGGGCUCAUUUGUGCAUUCCGUUUCCUGGGUUUGUGGAUGGAGAAACCAUAAUUGUUUUACCUUGGUUGUUAUUAGGACGCGACGGUGAUCCAAGCCAUCCUUUGGGAGGAAACUUUUGAAGUUAUCCUUGCUUGAACUAGUGAGUGUACCACCCGCAUGACUUGUUGAUUAACUAUUUUACCUGUACCUGCAAUAUGCGACUUGAACGACUGUAACACCUGCUUAAUUCUGGACAAGACGAGAGUGUAUUUCAUCACACUUGUCUCUCUUGCUUAUUUGUCGAGUCACUGUAUAUGCUUGAACCUGUUACUUGUGCCUGUUAUAAGCUUGAACCUGUUACCUAUGCCUGUUAUGAUAUCGUUUGGAGGCUUGUAUCCAACGACCUUUCUAUGAAAUUUGAGCUCAGCCUCAUUGGUAGUUAAUUGAAUUGAGCCAGCAAGGGGCUUGGUCGAGGAAAAUUGACAAGCCAUGAGGGCCUGUUUCUUGGGAAUCUUUGGGUAUUAGAAACUCUGGAUUCCUGGUAUACUCGAGUAUUAUCAUUCCUGUUCAUGUUUGACGUUCGGAUCCGGCAAGGGGUAUGUUUGGUGAAUGAAAUUUGGCGUAAGAGGGGUCCACGGACAUAUUUGUUUCAUCAAACGUUGACAGAGGGUCAAUGAGUUUGGAUCAAAUACUGCAAUGGAAAUUUGGCUCUUGAGAGCCAUCUAUAUCCUUUCUAUUUGAGGUGUUUGUUCAUUUGUUUAUUUGGUAUGUAUCUGAUUGAUUAAAAGGAUGAUCCAUGAUUCUUGACUGCUUGUACUUCUGGUACCUCACAGAGCAUAAGCUCACCCCUGUUACUUUUGUUUUCCUUAUAAGAGCAAUAUUUUGGAAACCAUGAUUUUGAGGAAAAGAGUAGAGCUACUUAUAGUUAUAGUUUUAAUUAAGCUCCUCUGAAAUGGCAAAACCCUAAUUGUACUUCGAUCACUUGUGAAUAUUCCGAAUUGUAUUGCUAGUAAACUUUUGAACCUUUCAAUGUAUAUAUCUCUAAGUGUUUAACCAUGUAAAUUAAGUGUACUUGUUUGAGAUGGUACUUUUAUUUGGCUUUGGUGAACACUUCUUGUAUCCGUUGGGAAACCUGGUGAGUGCAAAAUUUGAACGAGGAAGAAAAACAAUUCUGAUGUGGCACCAGUUCCUUUCCAUUUUCGUUGGAGCAUUCAAUCGAAAUUCUACUGUAUUGUUUGAGUUAGCUAGUUCCAUUUCCAACCGUUCAUGUUCUCAAAGUUCUUUCUCACAUCUAUAGGGUUUACGUGUAUUUCAGUUUAGUAGUUCUAGUGAGAGUUGGGCAGGCAGUCUGCCAAACCCUUGGGUACGCCCUGGGGAGAGGUGGGGCUAUCACAGAUUCAAAUCACAAGUAGGCCAAAUAUUCGAUCCAAGUCAAAAAUUCAUUUUCCUGAAGAACAGGACAUUCAAGCAAGAUAGCCUACUUUGAGGAGUCACAGACAGCAGUACACAUGGACGAAAAAUAUGAAAUUUUUACAGAACAAAGGCCUAUGAGUCUAGUUUCAAAUGUUACUAAUGGCACCUCAAUUGGGUUUUUCUACACCAAGAUAUAACCAUUUUUCUGAGACUGGUCAGUGAAAUCCGAAAAUCUGAAAACUCAUUUUUCACUUGGAAAAACUCCUUUUUCUCUUUUAAAAUCACAAGACUUUUAUUCAAACCACCCAUACACUUAAGUAUGACAUUCAUACCAGCAAUUUUAACAUAAUUUAAGCAUCAAAUUUUGACAUUAAAUCAAGGAAAUAACUCAAAAGAAUUUCAGCAGCCCCUUCCCCUUCACCUUCAAGUUUCUUUCCAACUGUCAAGCCAACAACCAAGCUAUAAUCCACAAGAAUACAAUCAAACAAGCAAGAAUCCUCAAGUUCUCUACCUAAAAGUUCACCUCAAGGCCACUACCUAGAAUAUAAAGCAAGAAACAAGGGUUUUCCUCAAGUCCUCUAGCUUAGAGUUUUGGGUAGGAUUUUCAAAUCCAUGCAACAACCACUACCCAUUACUAAUCUUUGAAAAAUUAAAGAUCAAUGGGAGUAAAAUUUGUUACCUCUUGAAGGUUUCUCGAACCCUAAGUAGAGCCAAGAUUUUUCACCAACAAUCCACCAAAUCCAUCAUAAGAUUGCAACUUUCUUCUAGCUAGAGCAAUAUCCAAAGGUCUUGAGGGUUGAGUGUGGAUCUUUGACCAAGAUUAAGGCCAAAGGUUGAAUUUUUUCCUUCCUCCAUUUGAGCUCCAAAUUUCGGCCAAGUAGAGAGAGUGUGCGAGGGAGUUGAAGUUUUGAUUUGUGGUGAAAAAAUAAGAAGAAGGGUAGUUUUUUGUUAGGUGAGAGUGUCAACUUUGACUAGUAGGGUCAUAUUGACAUGUACUAACAAUUCUUUAUGAUUUGCUACACUUAAAUACUAAUCUUCCAAGGUAGUUCUUCUAGCACUACAAUUACCCAUUCUUGCUAGUCUAAAAUUAAUUUUCCAAAUCUCCAAUUAGUCGUAACGGUACGACUUUUUUGAAAAAUUUUGAUGCGUAAGCGAUAAAAGUAUAGUUUAAAUAAAAUUCACGCUAAAAUAAUAAAAUUAAAUAAUACCAAUGCAAAUAAUUUUAAAAUAGUCUAAAUUAAGAAUAAAAACAUGAGUCCUCACAUCCUCUCCCCCUUAAAAGAAUUUCGUCCACAAAAUUCAUACCUUGAUUAGGAAAUAGGUCUGGAUAUUUCUUUCAAAUUUAUUCUUCUACCUCCUAAGUUGCUUCCUCUUAUUCCGUGAUUUCUCCAUAGAACUUUUACCGAAAAAAUUUGCUUAUUCUUUAGUUCCUUCACCUUACGAUCUAGAAGCUUCACUGGUUUCUCCUCAUACGUUAGUGCCUCGUCAAUCUCAAUAUUUUCUAGUUGCAGUACAUGGGAGGGAUCUAAAUGAUACUUCUUGAAUAUAGAUACAUGAAAAAUAUUAUGGAUUCGAGACAAAUUCGGUGGUAGUUCUAACUUAUAGGUCACGUUUCCUACACGUUGGAAAAUCUUAUAAUGUACUACAAAUUUCGGUUGCAACUUGUUUCCUCUUCCUGCCAUCAAACUUGCUUUUAGAGGAGUAAUAUUAAGAAAAACUUGAUCUCCAACCGCAAACUCCAAAUCAUUCUUUCGAUUAUCUGCAUAACUCUUUUGGCGGGUUUGAGCUGAUUGAAUCUUUUGACGUAUCAAUUUCACCUUUUCGUACACCUCCUCAAUCCAUGGUACUGCAGUUGGGUCUAAGAUCUUUUUUCACCUAUUUUAUCCCAACAAAUCGGAAAUCUACACUUCCAGCCAUAAAGAGCCUCAUAAGGAGCCAUUUGAAUGGAUAAAUGGAAACUAUUAUUAUAAGCAAACUCCACCAAUAUUAAGUACUUACUCCAACUCUCUCCGAAAUCCAAAAUACAUUAUCUCUGUAGACACCAAAUUUUUAGUAUUUUUUUUGCUAGUUUUUAUUUACUUUGAGUCUUUUAUUUUUAUUUUUAAGUCAUUUUAGCAUAGAAUUUAUCGGAAAAGAAAAUCAUUUCACAAAAAUAUGCUUUAGUUAUUUUAGAUUCAAGUUCAUUGUUAUUUAAUUAAAAAAAAGGGAAAAUCUCCACAAAAAUAUGUUUUAGUUCUUCUAGAUUCAGUUUGUCAAUUUUUUUAUGUUUGUUUACCUAAUUAAAAAAAAAAAGGGUUGUUCCAUGCGCACGUGGCAAGCACGCGCCAGUUUCUUUCAUGCAAGAAUGCAAGCGGAAGGUCAGUAAAGAAGCAAAAAUCGCAGCAGCCAUUGUGGUCUAAUUUCGAUUCAUUUUUUUUUUCCUAUCGACUUUGUUUCUUCCCAUUUAAGUCCUCAGUACAAGGCCACAUCACUCCUUCAAGAUCUAUCAAGAGGAUUCUAGAAAAACAUGAGAAUCAAGGGCUCUAAAAAUGCAACAGAAAUCAGUUUUUCUUCUACCAUCCAAAUGAGGGUUUAAGGGGGGUCGUUUGAUAUAAAAAGAAAAAUGCAAGAGGGUUUGGAGGGAGGCUGAGAGUUAUGACGGCUGAAAGAAAAGGCUAGAGUUAGAGGAUGAGAGAACGGAGCUGAGAGUGAAGUGUGUGAUGGCUGGAGGGAAGGAGUGCGUGAGGGGAGAUGAUAGAGUGAACAGCGGCUGAAAAAAACUAAGAAAGCAAGAGAGAGAGCUGGGGGAUAAUCUGUCGGCUGAGGAAGGAAAAAGGGAAAACCAAGAGAGCAAAAGAAAGCUACGGGUCUUCGGAGGAAAACGAAAAAAAUUUCAGCGAGAGAAAAGAAAUCUGAGGGAGGAAGGAGAGAGCUUUGGGGGUUGCUCGGUUUCACGUAAGAGAGGAAACAAGGGCUGGAAAAGAGAACCUAAGCGAGGGAGAAGACGGCUACAAACAAACUAAAAAAGAAAUGAAAAGCUGCAAUUUUUUCGACCAAAGGCUGAUUAUAAGCCAUAUUUCAGAUCAAAUUUCUCUUUGAUCUUUGGUUAUUUUAAGCAAAUCUCAAGGUUCUGCACUAACUAGGAAGUAAGGGGAGAAGGUUUCGUUCAGAAAUUGUUGGCAGAAAACAUCGAAUGAACCUUUGAAUUUGCCCCCAAAGAUCGCUGCUUGACUUCGGUGGUGCAGUUUCGGAGCCGUAACGGGGCAGCUUCAGCCGUUCUUUCACGGCGUUUCCCGUCCAGAUUUUGAUCUGACAAGCUUCAUCAGGUACUCUUCUGAACUAAUCUUAUAGUUCCUCCCCUUGUCAGUUGUUGGUUUAUUCAUUUGCAGUUCUCUUUCGUUCCCUUUCCUGCCAUUGGUUUGUAUUUUAUGUUCUGUCUUGAUUUCCUAUUUGUUUGGUCUACUUCAAAGCUGAUGUUAUAAGAAUAGGAUAUGAGGCAGCUAGAUGGUUUCGUAUGUUUAAGAAUUAUUGGACAUUUUGUUGAAAGUUGAUAAAGGUCCAAACUUUGGGAUUAGAUCUUUGUUGGUCGAACAUUUGCUGUUGUGUAAGACUGGUUAAUAUGUCAAAGCUUCAGAAUAUGGUUAGAGUUGCAUGUUUUCUCCGGAUUUGGUGCUUAAAUCCAAAGGUUCUUAUGUUGUGAGUUGAAAAUAAUGCUUAGUAAUACGGACUUCUGUUUUGCUGUUUCAUUUCCCAUGAUAACCAGUGACUUCACGACCUUAUUUUGCUAGUUAAUCUGAAUUUGGAAGAGGUAGUUGAAUUAUUGAAAGGGAGUUCGUUUGUUUGGUCUAAGCUAUAGAUGGUUUUAGUGCAAAAGCCACGCGAGUUGAAGCUGCAAGAAUAUGCAGCAAAACAAACGCUUUUGCAUUCUCUUUGCUGUUUUCUUCUCUGCAACUGCUCGUUAAGUUUCGGCCAUCCCAUUUGUUCACUUAAUCUUAUGUUGAAGGGAAGCAAUGGAAAGUUUGGUGCUGAGUUUGCAUAUUUGGGUCCAAAAAACACUUGAAUUAGGUCCGGACAAUUGUUGAAAAAUGAACUCCUGAGUUGCUAAUGAAAGUUGUAGCAGAUUUUGAAGUUUAUUGUUCUUCCUCUUGUGUUUUAUCAUGUUCAUGAUCUAAGUUUUGUAGCCUAAGGUCCAAGCUAUGUUAAAAUGUCUUGUUGGCGACUUGUAAACCAAAAAGCCACUAGCUUUUACAUUUUUCUCUCACCAUGAAGCUGAAACUGAUGUUAUCCGUUGGUUCCUCCUUUGGUGCUAUUCGUGGUUUUAAAACUUGGGUUUUAUGGCUUUCGUUUACCCGAAAACUUGGAAAGGGUCUGAUGUUUGAUGGUUUGAGUGAGGGAGCUAAAAAUUUUCUUUGGGUCAUGAUGAUACCACCAUUGGUUUCAUCAGAAGCCAACUGCAUUUCCGUGUGUCCUCAUGUUUUUCGUUGCUUGGGUUUUUCAAUGGCUGUUUCAUGUUCGGAUUUUCAUUGCUUGUUGAUGAGCUGAUUACUAAUGGAUCUUAGUUGAUGAGCUUGUUGUUUUUGGUUUGAGGAUUGAUAUAAAAAAAUUUGGCUGCCUAAGGAUUGUUGAAUGCUCAAAGCAACGGAAGUUGCAGAAACCAGAAUGCAUGGCGGUCUUUGCAUGAAAAGUUAAAAAAAUUGCACUUUACUCCAUUUAGUUUCCAUCUAUGUUACAAAGGCCCAAUUAUGUUCUAAUUUCUUGCAAUUAGGUCCUACCUCAUUUGCAUUUGAGUCCCACAACUUGAUUUUUCAGGGCUUUUGUUUUCAGUUGGGCACUAAUCACCUUUUUGUUGAUUGGGCAUUUAUCCUUGGGAUUUUAAUGGCUUGAUUGAUGUAAUUAAUGAUUUAUUUGAUUCUAAUGGCAUUUCCCUUAAGCAAUUUUGACAUUUGAGACUAUUUGAGUUCAAUUAGUGUCAUGAUUUACAUUUACGUCUUUAUUUACCAUUAAAUUGGUACCUUGAUCUGUACUUUUAUUUUGGAGGGUAAAUAAAUGAUUUCACUCCAUUAGGGCUCCAUCUCCAGGAAGGUACACUCUAUCCCUAAUUUCUUACUUUAGGUGACCCUACGUGCCCUAUGUGAUUUUACGUGUUUAAUUUGCAUGCCUCUUAAAUGUUUUUAUUAUUAUUUAUUUCAUUUAUUUUCUUCGUUGGCUUUAGUUUGUAUAUUUAUUUUUAGUUCAAUUUUGAUCAUUUGAAAGGCACUUGAAUGCCGAGUUGUAAUAGUUAGGGGUUUAUUUAUUUAUUUAUUUUUAUUCUUUCCCCCUUUUAGAUUGUAGUAGGGCCUCCCAAGUGUAAGAGUUAGGGCUUUAUUCGCAUUAUUUGUUUUGAGUGUGCUUGUGCAUGCCUAUGUGCUAUGUGUUUAAUUGUUUUCCCUAGGCUUUUGCAUCUAGAUAAGCAUGCUUAUGUGCUACGUGCUACGUGAAACUAUGUGUUUUGCAUGCCUAUUUGCUCUAGCAUUAUAUCUGAUCAUAUGGAUGAAUGCACGUCACCGUGGCUAGUCCAAUGCUAGUCAUGGUCUUCCCCUCGAGCCGUCAUAAGUCCAAUGCUUGUGAGAGAGCGUUAGUUAAAGGCUAGUCCAAUGCUAGACCCUUAGAAACCAUCCGCACGUUAGAUCAUGAUUGUGUGAUAAAAUCACUUCAUCUCACGCAUAUUUUCACUUUUUAGGAUUUUUUAUCAUUUUCUGCAUGACAUCCCUUCUUAUAUGUAUAUCUCUUCCCCCAUAUUUUCCCUUUUGUAAUAUAUAUGUAUAUAUUACUUACCCCUUUUGUAUGAAACAUGACAUUAGACUUACAUUUCAUCUAAGCAUUAGACCUGGGUUAGUACAUUUGCUUGGUUAGACUAGGAAAAACCCCUUGGAUAUGAGAUAUGGACGAGUUUGGCUUUUCUAACCUUAGCAUGCUCGUAUUCCCUCUAUUAAAGGGAACAUUGAAAGUCACGAGUAUAAGUCCCCCGCACCCAUUAUGAUGCAUUCCUUUAGGUCAUACACAUUUGUAUAUUAUUUUCUUUACUUUUUCUUUCUUUCGAGUCUCAUGACUUGCAUUAUUCGUGACUUCUUCGAAGAGUCUUUAUUGGACGUCACAAUUAAUGUGAUUGGUACCAAAUAAGUUUUGAAGAUACAUUUCGACUCCCCGAUACCCUCUUAGGUCUAGGGUUUGCAUUCAUAUAGUACAUCCAAAUGUGAUAAAUUUUAAGGUUAAAAUAAGAAAAUCUUUGACUAAAUCACGCAACUAGUCUUGGUUAGGUCGAAAAGGGUGCCUUGGAUUCUUAUUCUUGCCUUCCCUUUCUUCAAAUGUGACUCCCGAAUCUUUUUCUCUGAUUUUUGUAGAUUUGGAGUUGUUUAAAAAGGGUUUUCUACUUUUUUCUUUAAAAAUUUAUUUUAGGUGACUUGGUACACCUUAACUCUAUACCAAGUGGCGACUCCAUUUUCCAUUCAAAAAACCCUUUUUAAACUAUAUUUUGGAUCAAAUCAUCGCAUUUUCAAAUCCCAUUUAGAUCCAUGUUUUUUCAUUUUCUUUUUAAAUCAAAAAUUCAUUUCCCAAUCACAAAUUAAAUCAAAAGCCAUUUUUUCUAAACUCGUCUUUUAUUUUUCUCAUUUAAAAAAAAUGGGGCGCGACAAUCUCAACAUGUCCUCGAAAGUCUGAAUUGUCCUUUCUGACUGUCCAUCAAUCUGUGGGUGGUAGGUAGUGCUAAAACUCAAUUUCGUUCCUAGCAUUUCUUGUAUCUUCUGCCAGAAUCGAGAAACAAACCGAGAGUCUCGAUCGGACACAAUACUUAUUGGUAUCCCAUGUAACCUUAUAAUUUUAUCCAAAUAUAGUUUAACUAAUUUCUCCAAUGAGUACUUCAUACUAAUCGGCAAAAAAUGAGCAGACUUGGUCAAUCUAUCUACUAUCACCCAAAUGAUGUUGUGACCUCUUUGUGUCCUUGAUAAUUUAGAUACAAAAUUUAUGGUGAUAUUCUUCUAUUUUCACUCGGGUAUCUCCAAAGGUUGCAAUAGGUCAGAUAGUUUCUGAUGCUCGACUUUAACCUGCUAGCAAAUCAAAUAUGUCUAGACAAAUCAAGUAAAUUCCUUCUUUAUAUUCUCCUACCAAUACAAGCUUUUCAAGUUUUGGUACAUUUUAUUUCCUCCAAGAUGUACCGUAUACCUAAAACGAUGAGUUUUUUCUAAAAUUUUUCUUUUUAACCCUUUAUCUUUUGGCACUACUAUGCGAUUUCAAAACCUUAGUACACUAUAUACUUCUAAAUUAAAAUCCGACUUUUCCCUCUUUUUAAUUUUCUCCAACCACUUUCGUACCUCCGAGUCCUUCUCUUGUGCCUCCUUGAUACGAUGUAGCAAAGCGGAUUUCACGACAAUGUUCUUAAGGAUUACCUUUCCUGGUUCAAGAUGAGGGUUCCAAAUACUAAUCUCCUCUAACAAGUGCAAUUCUUUAAUCAUCAAUCCAGUCACUUGCACUUUACAACUCAAAGUAUUGGUUACCACAUUAGCUUUCCCAGGGUGAUAAUUGAUCAUACAAUCAUAAUUCUCUAAAAACUCCACUCAUCUAUGUUGUCUCAAGUUCAAGUCUUUUUUGGAAAAUAAGUACUUAAUGCUCUUGUGAUCUGUAAAAACCUCAAACGUCACCCCAUAUAGGUAAUGUCUCCACUUCUUCAAUGCAAAUACUACUACCGCUAACUUCAGAUCAUGAGUUGGGUAAUUUCUCUCAUGAGGUUUAACUUUUUAGAAGCAUAUGCAAUCACCUUAUCAUUCUGCAUCAAUACACACCUCAACCCUUCUUUUGAAGCAUCUGUAUAGACCAUAAACUAUUUUUUCCAUUAGGUAAAACUAAGACAGGUGUGCCAUUAUCAAACUUUUUUUAACUCCUGAAAACUUCUUUCACACUUAGAGCUCCAUAUAAAUUUCCUACUUUUCUUAGUCAACUCAAUCAGGAGUCCUGCAAUCUUAGAAAAAUUUUUGAUAAAUCUCCGAUAAUACCCCGCUAAUCCUAAGAAAUUUGGAAUUUCAGUUGGAUUUUCCGGUUGCUUCUACUUAGAAAUUGCUUCAACUUUGGUCGGAUCCACCUUAAUUUCUUGAAAAUUAUAUGACCUAAAAAAGUUACUUUUUCAACCAGAAUUCACAUUUACUGAACUUAACAUACAGUUGAUAUUCUCUCAAGGUUUGCAAGACAAUCCUCAAAUGUUUCUCAUGAUCCUCCAAAGUUUUAGAGUAUACCAAUAUAUCGUCAAUAAACACUACCACAAAUUGAUCUAAAUAGGGUUUAAAGAUUUGAUGUAUUAAGUCCAUUAAAGCUGCAGGAACAUUAGUUAACCCAAAUGGAAUCACUGCAAGUUCAAAGUGCCCGUACCUCGAAUAAAAGGCAGUGUUAGGUAUAUCUUUUUUUAAAAUUCUCAAUUGAUAAUAACCCUGCCUGAAAUUCAACUUUGAGAAUACUACCGCCCUUUGCAAUUGGUCGAACAAUUCAUCAAUGUGGGGUAAAUGGUACUUGUUUUUAAUGGUGACAUCAUUCAAGUCUCGGUAGUUUAUACACAAUCUUAAACUCCCAUCUUUCUUUUUAACAAACAAUACUGGAGCUUUCCAUGGAGAAUCACUUUCUCUUAUAAAUUCUCGUUCUAGUAAAUCUUGUAAUUGCAACUUCAGUUCUUUCAAUUCAGCCGGAGCCAUUCUAUAAAGUGUCUUAGAGAUAGGUGCUACUCAUGGAGUCAUAUCAAUUUUAAAUGCUAUCUCUCUUUCCAGUGGUAAAGACUCUAGUUCCUCAGGAAAAAUAUUUGGACAAUCCCUUACCACUGGCACAUCCUUCAACCUCACCUUGUCACUAGAAGUAUUGAUAAGAAAAGUCAAAUAUCCUUGAGUUCUCUUACUCAACAUUUUUCUAACUCGAAUUCUUGAAAUAAGAGCAGAUGAGGCUAAUCUACCCCUUACAUCCAAUUUUAGGGUUGCCUCUCCUGGAAUACAUAGUUCUACUGUUUUCGUCUUACACUUCAACUGAGCAUGGUAGCGAGCUAACCAAUCCAUACCUAGGAUGAUAUCAUACCUCUUAAUAGCUAAGCUAAUCAAAUCGGCCAAUAAUUUUUGCUCUCCAAUUUACAAUAAAUAUUCAUUCUUAGUCCUAAGAAAAGAUCCGAACCUAAGCUCUACCUGAUUUUCAAUUCUCAUGCGGGUUCAAAAUGUAUAUACAUAUAUAUAUAUAGAUAUUUGUGGAAAAGGGACAACAGGACAGGUAUGUGGAUAUAUAUAAUAAUGGUCAAGCAAACUGAAAGCAUUUUUUGUGACAGCCCCACCUCCCCCUAAGGCGACCAAAGGGUUCGGCGGAUCGCCUGCCCAACUCUCGCCGGGACUCAGUCGUUCACUUACACAAAUCGGAAAUAAAACCACAAGAAAGAGCAAAAUGAGGAUCCAAAACUUAAAACGAAACUUAUAUACAUUGCUAUCUCAGAAAGAAGUACAAUCGUCGAGAAUACAAAAGUUCUCAAGUCACCAUGCAACGAGCCCGUGCCAAGCACUAGGGCGAGAACCAAAACAAAACCAAAACUAGACCCAGCCAGUCGAUACAGAGUUCUCGCCCCCGCUCGCCUUCCCCUGUUAAGGAAAACAAAACUAAAGGGAUGACCUGGAAAGCUCAGUGAGGUUCCGAUCACAUAGGCAAACAAGAAGUUCAAUGCAUUCAUUACACGUAGCCAAUAAUUCAAGAUACAAAGAUAAGAUAAAGCAAUAAACACAUUCAUUAAAAGGAUACGGGCUCACAUGGAGCUAUUUGUUCGUUCGUUCGUUCAUUCAUUCUCGUUUCAUUCCCUUAUACCUUCAAUCAUUUGAAAAUGUAUUUUGUAUAAGUAAAACCCCUCGUUCAUUCAUUCGUUCAUUCAUUCAUUCACCCUAUCCCGGACAUUGUCCAGGCUCCACCAACCUACAAGGUAAUACUCGAGUAUACCAAAACGUUCACCCAAGUCUCUAAUCGCCCGACCGAGUCCGCUUCUGGCUCGAGAUGACCGGUAACAAGGGGCAGUGGCCAGUUCAGCCAAAAGGCUUACAUUCAUGCACAAAUAACAUUUCAAUCGUUCAAUCAUUGAAAACUUCACAAUCAUUUAGGCCAAGUGCGAUAAAGUACACACUUGCCUAGAAAACUCAUUUUAACAAUCAUUGAAAGCAUUUAACAUGUUAUCAAUCAUUCAUACCAGCCAUGUAAUCAUGUAACAUAACAAACAAGGAACACUCACCUAUAUACGCAAAAUAACGUCCACUUCUCAAUCACCAAUGAAACCUAAAAUUAAACAAAGAACACAUUACAAUCCAUCUAGCAUGCUUUAGAUGCAAUCAAGAAUUACCCGACUACUCGUGAGUAAACGUAUAAAAAUGACUUUUAAAGUGUAAAGAGGGUAUUUGGAUCCGUGGACGGGAAUAACUAGGGUUCAUAAACCAACCGCGAAACCAAACUCAAAAGGUUAUGAAAUUUCCGACAGAAAACACUUUAACCAUCGACAAAUCGAAAUCCAAUAAGGUAAGCUAAGAAGUAUUGUUUCCGGAAUCGUUUAUGUGGUUCAAAAUCAAUAGACUAUAUGCCUUGAUGAAAAUCAUGAAAAGGUGGCAAAACUACCUCACUUUCACCCUUAAAACUUCACUUAAAAGUUAUUCACUUGUGGCCGAGAGAACCCGAGGUCAACCUCUAUAUUUUGGUAAACAGUAAGUAAACAUUUGGAGUUUCAAACCAAAGAGGUAUUAGGUUUUAGAAUGGUAAAAUGAUCACUUUAGUUGUCAAGCGGAAAUAUACAGGUUCAAAUAGAAAUUUAGUCAUUGAGCGAAAAUUUGGGCAGCACGCCCUUUGUAUUUACCUAUUUUUCUAGCCAUUUAUGGCUUCAUUAUCUUACUCAAUCUAACCCAAAGUUAUCCAUAUCUCAAAGUCAGUUCAAUAGCCAUUCCAUAGGCUUAAAACAAUACAAGAACAAAGAUUAAGCUAAUAUCAAGUGCGGAAACAAAGCUUAUAGAAGACAGAUUUGACGGGUUUUUACGGAACAGGUACAUCCGAGGCUACGCUUAUCGGAUUGAGGUACAACUUAUACCAAUUCGAAGCUAAGACGAAGGCCUACAAUUUUUAUGAAGAGCACUUAGUCUAAUUUUCAGUGUAACCUAAUCAAAUUCCCAAUUCAUAUAACCUGGUUCCAACUAUUCGGCUAAUCAACCGUACUGCAUUCAAAUGACCAUAUCUCAGUCUACCAAGGUCCGUUUAAGAUGUUCUUGGUGGCGUUGAAAAGCUAAGACAGGGUAAUAAAACUUUAAUGUUUUGGUAAAUGACUAAAUCAGCACGGAUCAUAGUGAAUAAACACAAUCAAUUGGAUGAACUGUCCAAAACGAAUCACUGGAAAUAUCCUAGGGCAGUGAGGGUAUUUUGGUCUUUUUAUAGGCUACAAUGCUCUGAUUGAGCUGAAAUUUUGUAGGCAACUAUAAAAUAUCAUUAUCUACAACUUUCAUGUUUUGUGCCAAGUCUAAUUCAGCCUUUAACAUGGAGUACUAAAACCGGACAAAACAGGGUAACUUGGUUUCCAAAUUCUGAAAUUUGCACCUUUACUCUAUAAAUUCAUAUCUAACAAGUGCUCUAUCAUCAAACCCACCAAUUACUAGCUCAAUAACAUCAAUUAAGAGGUAGAUAACCAUAAUCAAGGCUGAAAAUAUAAACCCUAGUUAAACAUCCCAACAUACCAUUUAACCCAUGAAAUUUUCCCCAUAAAUCCAUCAAAACUAUAACUUUAAGCUUCUAGUUCACACAUAUAAGAAGUAGAGGGAAGUUUCUUACUAAAUUCACCUUAAUCCCUAUAUCAAGAAGCUGCCAAGACCUUCCUCUUCCCAAAUCACUCCACCAAAACCCUUAAGCUUCCUUGGAGAUCAACUUUUGUGGAGGAAUUUGCGAGAUUAUCGGUUGAAACUCAAGAUUGAGGCUUGAAAUUGAGGUGCAAGGUGAAGUUUUUUCAUCUCUUGUUUUUCCUCUCAAUAAUUUCGACCAAGACUAAGAAAAGGAGAAAAAAUGAGGAAAUUUUGAUCAAAUUUCUGUUUUAUGAAGGUUAAGACAAGUUGGUCAAAGUCCAACUUCCAUAGAUGCCUUGACACUUGUUUUCUUUCUAGCAUUUUCUCUCAUUUCUCUUGGUCAAAUAUUGUGGCUGAUGUAUGAGAUAUUUUGAGGGUCAAUUAUCUAAAAUAAAAUGAGAAGAUUAAGGUAAUAAAGUAUGGGUUAAAUGGUGUGUUUACCCGAUAACAAACGGUACCCGUCGGUUCGGGCCGAUUUUCCUAAAAUCACCCGUACUAGGGUUUUUCUUCCUAUUCACUAACUUUUUAUUAUUGCAUCUAAUCACAUAUUAUUUCUCACCCAAAAGUCACUCUUAAACACCAAAUUUGAUCCUUGCUCUGUACCGAAAAAUCAUCCUGCGGAAAAUCGCGAAAAUCCUAAUUUUCUAAGAUCAUUGGCACUUUUCUAGGGUGUUUAAGUAGCAAUAUGGUAUAGAAUAAUAAUUUCCAAUUAAAAGGGCAUUUUUAAGAAAAGUGAGGGUUUUACAAUUCCACACAUUGAAUUUAGGGUUUCGGUUGAAAUAUGAGAAAUUUGAGAAAACGGUCAAUCACAAUUGAAACUAGGGUUUCGAUUAAACUUUUAGGGUUUCUAAUCUUUUAAAAUAAAACAAGGUUUUAAAUCAACCUAAAGAAAUAACUUUAGUUUCUUCUUUAGAACAAAAUAAUGUUUUUAAAUAAAAAUAAACUAAAGAAACUGUAAUAUCCUCUUUGAAACUAAUCAAAGGAUGAUCCUAAAAGUUGGGGUAUCACAUUUUUAUUCAAUUAAAAUAAAUAGGUAAUGAGUUCAAGUCACCUCACGAAUAACCAACGCAAUAUUUUGGGAGUUCAAACGUUCAUAAAAGGUUAAAAUAUGUCCACAUGUCCACACUGGUAGGUCUAAUCUUCUCGUUCAUUUCCAACUCAUAUCCAGCACCAGGAUCCCAUUGAAUUACAUAAGACCAUCAUUCAAUCUUUCCUUCCGUGAUCUCUCAUCUUUUUCAGGAGUACAGGGUUACCUAAACCCACACCCACGACCUUUUCCUCGUCCUCGCCGAUCCAUACUUAAUAUAAGUCUAUAGGCGUAAGAAAAGGAAUAAUUAGGCAUAAAAGAACUUAAUGCGUAUACAAAUUGUAAAAAUAUUUAGAAUUAAAGUAUGAUUCUUUACAUAUACCAAAAGUCAUAGUACGAGUCGGGAGAUCACAAAACACGCCAAAUAUGUCAAAUGCAUGACAUAGGCAAUUGAGUGCCACAAAAUAUAAGAGUACAUGCAGGCAAAAUACAGAAGGCCUCACGGCGUGCACCACCCCUACUAUCCUAGGCAGGAUUAAAAGAAGGAGAACCAUAAACCUAGUUAGGGAUAGAACUAGAAGAAUCCACGAUACCAAGCCACAUUAUUCGAAUAAUUAUAAAUUUCAAAUUCCAUCCAAAAGCCUAAACUACUUUCUAAAUUUUUAGUCUAAAACUUCCAAUGAAUACAAGUUUUUCUCAUUAAAUUCAAGGUGAAAGUUCCUAUACAGGGUAGGGUAAUAAGUCAAACCAAAAGGAAUGCAAAAAAUAUCUAAUUUUCAAACUUAAAGUAGAGUUAAAAAUUGUUCAAAUCACUACAAGAAAAUUUCUCUAUUAUGGCAUACUUGUUAGGGCACUAUUUAGUAAAUGCCUCAAAUAAACACUUAUUAAGGAAUUAGGUAGUUUUUGCCAUAUUAGCACUUAUUAAUUAAAUAAAAAAAGACAAUGUAUAAGAGACAAAUCUUAUAAAAAAAUUGAAAAUAAAAGAAUAUAAAGAAUAUAUUUAUAGAGGCAUUUUAGAGAUGUGCCUCAACAACUAUUAGAAAGAAAUACAAUCCCAAAUUGGCCCAUCAAAAGAAGCGGCAAAUUGUUUCACGAAAAAAUAGCAAAAAUGCCCCAUAUUGGUGCCUAAGAGUAUCGGCAAAAUUGUCCCAAAUUCCAAAUACCAAGUGCCCAUCUUUCUCUCUCACUCUCCCUCUUGGUCCUCAACCAAUCUACCAUCUCCAACACUUCCAUUUUUCAUUGACCCAUUUCUUUCCCUCACUCUCUCUCUCUUGGUCCUCUACCCUCAAAUUUUCCCAAAAAUCAUGGCCAGCUCUCACGAGUUCUCUAGAAAGAAAAGUGCAGCAGAGAGAAACAAAAAGCACUUUGGUGGGUCUGGAAUUGGGCGAGCAGCUGAAUGCAUUUUCAUCUUCGACUACCCACCAAGACGCAUGAACAACGUUUUCCAUGAUAUAUAGUUGAAUGGUAGGUAAGAUUAAUCCCGAGGUUUCGGCCUUAAGAUAGUCGAAUCUUGCUUUUUCGAUCUUAUUUCUGUCAAUAAAGAUGAAGGAUUUCAUGACUUUCUUUUUUUCCAACUAGAAAAAAAAAAUUUCUUUUUUUUUUCCAACUAGGCAUGAGGGAGCUCCGAGAAAUGAGGCGAGCAGGGAGAUGGGAUUUUCUUCAAGGGUGGUUGCCCCUCUCUGCUUCUUAGCCUUUGAUUUCUUUCUCCAUCACAUUACAGCAAAACCGACAUCCUUUCAUCAUUUUAGACAAGGGUUAAUUACACUUAGCGCCCCUUUUUUUCGACUGAGUCGAACCAAACGAGCCCUUGUACUCCGAUUCCCUAGAAAACUUCCCAUGGGCUUUACUUUGCGAGUUUAGGAAAGAAAAGAAAAGAUGACAUCAAAAAGGCUGUGAUGAUUAUUUUUGAUUCUCAGAAUCGGAGCAAGUUUUUCUUUUGCAGGGCAAUUUGAGGUGAACAGACCCGUAUCUUAGCAGGGCAACCCUGAUGGCCUGAAAAUGGGGGAAUUCUUUCCCAUCUCCCUUUUGCAUGCAACUAGGUUUUUGCAACCAUGGCGGUGGUUCUCUCCCUCUUUUGCUCUGAUGAAAGAUCUGAGCCAUUUUCUUUGAGGCCAAAUGAGAUUAUCAGAGAGAUUGGGAUUUUAUUGAAUUAAGGGUGGUUGUCUCUCUCUGUUUUUUGUCUAUGAUUUCUUAGUUGCAUAAGUAAACAGCCCUUUGUGUUUUUUCUUCAAGCGAGCGCUUUCAUGUAAAAGUUCCGAGUCAGUGUACUUUUGAUGUUGAUGAUGAUGAUGAAUUCAUAAAAAAAAACUACGCAUGAAAUUAUUUGUUGACAGGUUGAUCAAGAUCUAAGAAUGUAAAUAUAGAGAAAGAUUUGUUUUUCUUUACCCCAAUAAUUAGACUAACUUAUAUAGCGUUCUUCUUGAUUUGGGUGCUUUUUAAGUCUUUCUAAUGAGCAAUGACCACUUUACAGUAAUUUUGUAGACAAGUGUAGCCUAGAAAACGCUUUGAUCUAGACAAGUAAUUUCUUCAUUUAUGGGUGCUUUAGGAUUUAAUAUAUUAAGAAGUAAACUGCAAAUUGUCUUUGAUUGUAGUUCAUGUGAAUCUUGAUGUUAUACUUUAAGGAUCUGGUAGAAGUGGUAUUAUAGUUACAGUUCAAAAGGUUGUGGUAGUGGUAAUUUGUUGGUCAAAGUGAUGCUGUUUGAUUGUGAGAUAUUUUGGUGCAGAUGCAGCUUAGUAAGCAUGUAUUUUCAUGCUGGGAUGCAGAUGACUUGACUAAUUGUGAAGUUUUGAUUCAAAAUUGAUGUUGGAGUUCUAGGUAUGUCUAUGAAUGGACUUGGCUGAGUAUUGGACCAUGUUCCUUGUACCAGAGGUGUUUGAGGGGCCAUUUAAUAAUAUUAACUAUGUUGUGGAUUUGUUUCACUCAAGGAAUGGCCUCCAAAAUCAUGUGCACCAUUUUUCCUACUAUAUUUUUGCCUGUAAGAUAGAUUCUUGUAUGUCAGUUUGUCUUUUGGCUUAAACUUCAGUGCAGUAGUUGGAAUUUAGUUGAUUAUUAUGAUCUUGUACUUACCCUUGUACAUAAUUUACUUAUUCUUUUUUGUUCUUUUUAUUUAUUUUAUUGUUUGGCUUGCAGUGACUCUGAAAAUUUGCUGGAUCCUCAAUUGCCUUUCAUCCCUCCUGUGGAGCUUUUGGUGAAGGCUUCGGUUGUAAUUGGAUCUUCCAUUUUGGCUGCUUCCAAAUGUAUUUCUGUCAAACUACUCUGCUGCUUACAUCAUCCAUUCCUUAUUGGCACAUCGAAAAAAAAUAUAGUCAGGAAGGUAAUUGUUCAACCUCUCCUUUUGGAACUUAUUAAUGUAUAAGAUAAGAUAUAGAAAACCUGCUAAACUAUUUGUUCUCUAGCUAUUACAGACUUGCUGACUCAAUUGGUGCUCCUAUAGCUUGACCAACAAAACUAGUAUGUUUUUCCUUUUCUAGCUUUCAAAUUAUGUUAACUGAUAAUAUCUCAUAUGUUUGUCUCAUUGGAUAAUUAUGAUGGAUUUUAAUACAUAAUAUACUUAUGCAAUAGGUAAAAUUUGCAAAGAUUGAUGUGCUGAAAUUCAAAAGUGGACAAGGUGUUGCAGCAUAUGAAUACUUAUCCAUUUAUAUGGAAGUGCUCUAACUGUAAAAGGACAAAGUGUUGUUGCAUAUAUUACAAGAAGUUGGUCUACCAGCGAUUUAGUUGAUUUUAAUUUAUCUAGUGCUAUUUAGGUGAAAUCGUGGCAAACAAUCAGUAGGAUAUUCUAGCUGUUUCAUGAAUGUUGCCUCAAAUAUUAUGUUUUUUUUUUUUUUGCAAGGAUGAAAGUUUAAUUAGUUGGUUGAAAAACUACUAGAAGUUAUGAGUACUUUAAUUGUAAUCAUUGGUUAUGGUGAUAAUUUGAAAGUGAUUGUUCAAUCAAAUAUUGUUGGUUUUGGUCAUUGAAUGUGAGAUGUCCAAUAUGAAUGUAUGAUUAUAUUGAUACAAUAGGAAUGUCAUAUUCACCGUAAUACCUGUGGCUGGGUAUAAAAAAGAAAAAAAAAAUUUAGUCUAUUGAGGCACUUGUAAGUGUUGCGAUAACGGUUUUUCGUAGUAGAAAUUUUCUUGUUACACAAUAGGUUUUUGAGGCAUUUUAAAACAUCUUUAAAGGUUAAUAUAGAGGCAUUUGCCAGUAUCUACAUUAAGAUAUACACUGACAUACUUGUAUGCCUCAAUAACAACCAUUUUUUGACAUUUACUACUAUCUCAAGAACGGACUGUUAAGGCAUUUAUAAGUGUCAACUUAAAGUUAAGAUAGCAUUGUUUUGUGCCUCUAAAAAGUUGAGUUCUUGAAAGUUGAAUCCCAAUUAAGGCAUUUUUAGGUGUUAGCAUUAUAACCUUGUUUUGGCACUUCUGGAUGUCUGAAUUGUUUUCUAUGUUGUGGCACUUAAUUGUGCCUUCAAAAGCUUUUGUGACAUAGGUUUUACAUGGCACACUAGGUAUGUGCCUCAAUAUAUUAAGUGCCUCAACAAAGUGUGACUUGUGACAUUUUCAUGCGCCUUUAUAAGUUGUUUUUCUUGUAGUGAAUGGUUCAACUUUUCUACCGAAAUUUUGGCAAGCAAAAUAGUGGAGGAAGCAAGGUUUCCAACCCUUAAACUCAUCAGAUGGCUAUUUAACAUUCAUAAUCUUGACUCACCUCUAACAUAACUUGAAGAUUAAAGUCUUAUAGUGUUUUGUGAGUAAAAUGGUGCUACAACAUCAAGAAACUUUUGAAAUCAAGGCUGCUUUAAGCCCUCAAUUCAAGAACAAUUUAAAGACAUGGAAUUACCCUUAAAAUAGAGUCUACAAGACAUUAAAUCAUAGACGUAUAAGGAUUUAACUCCAAAAAAAACACUAGCAUUCAACAUCAUUCUAAUUAAACACAAAUACUUCAAUAUUACUCGUUAAAACACCAAGCACCAAGGUCACAUUGCAUUUAAUACAUAAUCAAAUCCCACAGUCCCGCAUCCUAAACUUUUAAGCCUAGGAUACACUACAAAAAUCUGAAACCUAAACUCUGAUACCACACGUGACGACCUCACUUCUCCUUAGGGCGAACACUAAGGUUUUGGCGGGCCGCCUGCUUAGCUCUUGCCAGGGUUCAAUACUAGCCAAAUCUAAACUUAAAGAUAAUCAACCAAUAAUAAAAUUGAUAAAGAGAAAAGUCGCAUCUUUAUAUAAUCAUUCAAAUCUUACAUCACAAAGAUUCCAAAAGGUACAUAAAAUUUUUCAAAAUACAACCAUCCAAAGUUGACUAAACCAUUUACAUCCAAAUUCUAAUUAAAAGGUAAUCAAGUCAGUUUCUUCAAAAAUCUUUCCAUUCCGAGCCUCUGUUAAAGAAAAAAAACCACGGGAGGGAGCUAGCGCUCAGCGAGGCCAAGAAAAGCAUGCAAACACAUAAGUUCAAUUAACAAUAACACUUGUACAAGAAAUAUAGUUAGAAAGUCCAUGAAAUUCACAAAUAACAGUAAAGCACAAUCAAUAAGGAUACGGGACCUCUCAAGAGCUAAAUUCCUAUUGCUUUGCCAAGGCUUGAUCCAGUACCUCCAUGUGAUAACACUCCGUCAACCGGGUAGGUAGCAAGUCCGUAGAAACCCUGGUUACUUCCUCCAUCCAUCAUUUCACCCUCUCGGAUCCGUAAUCAAACACUCACUAGAAAGGCAAUACUACUCGAGUAUGCCAACCAAGAGUUCAAAAGGUCAAACUUAUAAUUUUCUUAUGGUUCACCAAGCUUCUCGAUCAAGCCCAUGCCGGCUCGAGUCGCAAGGUUAGCCAAUGAGUUUUGGGCAUCCCAGGUGUACAAGUAUAAUUUGCCUAGUUCACGCGAUUCAAUUGUCAAGUCACGUUUACACAAGUCAAUUGUCUAGUCAUGUAAAAAAGAACGAAUGCGAUAAAGUACACACUCGUCUCGACAAAUUCAAAUCACUUAAUUAACAAGAAACAAUUCAAAUAUUUAGCAACAAUUCAUGCACUUGACACUCACCAAUUCAAAAGAAAGUGAGUAAAUAAAGCCCUUUAGUUGUCCGCACCAGAAUUCCUUUCGAAACCCUCUUGAGCACCUGAAGAAAUAGCGACCAACUAUCACUCAUAGAUACUCUAGACCGCUUAACAUUCAAGGAAGAAAAUGCACUGGCUUAAAACUUAACAACGCCUUAAAAACAGUUUUAAUUCAUCGAAAAUCGAGAUUCAAAAAUGAGGAUUUAAAAUCACAAGGGAAACUUGUAUCAUCCAUUAAAUCAAGUUUAAAAUGGACUAUCAAUUUCAAAAGGAAGUUGGGAGUUCUUAAAAUCAUAUCUCGGGUUUACGCAACAAUUUUUCCCAGAUGGGAAAACGGACUAUCAGCUUUACGCAACAAUACUUGGAAAAAUCAUAUCUAGGGUUUACGCAACAAUUUUUCCCAGAUGGGAAAACUGACUAUCAGCUUUACGCAAUAAUACUUGGAAAAUCAUAUCUCGGGUUUGGCAAGUCCAAAAAUGAGAAACUUUAUACCAUUGGAAACUAGAUUCGAAGUACUAAAAUUUUCCGAAGACACUUUUCCCAGAUUCUAACCAGAAAUCAUUCGAAUUUCAACUCAAAUUUACUGUUUCACAAAGACAGGGCAGAACCAGUUCUUGUUUUUCAGCAAAGUUUGAAAAUUUGGCAAAAUUCACAGGUAUUGAAUUAACCUCUAAAAUUUAUAACACAGCAAGAGUUUCAAGUAAAGUUUCAAACACACCCAGUAGAACUAAAUUCAGAUUUUUGAAAAGCAAGAUACAACAGUUUGAAGAUGGCUGGAUUUUACGACCUGUUCAACAAUUUUCCAUUUACUAGCUUUGACAUAGUUUUGAAAUUAGACCAUAUCUAACUCUACACAAGUCCAAAUUGAGAAUGGUUCAUGGCAUUAGAAACUAAAUUAAAAAUGCUUCAAAUCAUCAGAAGAUAUCGUUUCCAAACUCCUUUCACAAGAGGGACGAAAUUGAGACACAAGAUGCAACUACACAAUUUCUCUCGGACAACUAGGUAAACAGGUCAGUCUAAUUUGCUGAUUCGCUACGGCUCACUCAAAACGAAUUAGCAGGGAAAUUUUAUACCAUUGGAAAAUAGAUUUUUAGUACUACAACAUCCCAGAAGGCACUUUUCAGAGAUUCAAAUCACAAGUAGGCCAAAUAUUCGAUCCAAGUCAAAAAUUCAUUUCUUGAAGAACGGGACAUUCAAGCAGGACAGCCUACUUUGAGGAGUCACGGACAGCAGUACACAUGGACGAAAAAUAUGAAAUUUUUACAGAACAAAGGCCUAUGAGUCUAGUUUCAAAUGUUACUAAUGGCACCUCAAUUGGGUUUUUCUACACCAAGAUAUAACCAUUUUUCUGAGACUGGUCAGUGAAAUCCGAAAAUCUGAAAACUCAUUUUUCACUUGGAAAAACUCCUUUUUCUCUUUUAAAACCACAAGACUUUUAUUCAAACCACCCAUACACUUAAGUAUGACAUUCAUAUCAGCAAUUUUAACAUAAUUUAAGCAUCAAAUUUUGAAAUUAAAUCAAGGAAAUAACUCAAAAAAAUUUUGGCAGCCCCUUCCUCUUCACCUUCAAGUUUCUUUCCAACUUUCAAGCCAACAACCAAGCUAUAAUCCGCAAGAAUAUAAUCAAACAAGUAAGAAUCCUCAAGUCCUCUACCUAAAAGUUCACUUCAAGGCCACUACCUAGGAUAUAAAGCAAGAAACAAGAGUUUUCCUCAAGUCCUCUAGUUUAGAUUUUUGGGUAGGGUUUCCAAAUCCAUGCAACGAUCAUUAUGUGAGGACCCGAAAAAUUUCUUAUUUUUAUUGAAUAUUAUUGGUUUAUUUAAAUAUUUAUUCACCUGUUUUCUCCAAAUAAUUUAUUUCAACCAUUUUAAAUUCAUUCGUAUGGAACAAUGUCUUCCUUAUGUUUUUAAAAAGUCCCGUUAGCAAAUUUAAUUUUUGGAGGUUCGUUUAAGUGAAAAAUAAUAAGUACAUGUGUUUCAUGGUGAUAUUCUAUUUGAAAGUGUAAUUAUUUUGGGGAAAUUAAGAAUGAUCAAUAGUAGAUUAAGAAAAGUGAAUUGAAAAAUUAAAGGUGAAUAAGUUCUAAUUAAGUGCUUACCGCUCGCGCGUCGAUAGUUUUUCGAAAGACGCGCUGAUAUAAAUUUAUUGGAGAUUUAAGAAAGUAAUACUAGACUCAUGUGAGGACCCGCGAAUUUACUUAUUUUAAAUUCCUAUUACUGGUUUAUUUAAAUAUUUAAUUGGCCGUUUGCUCCGAAUAUUUUAUUCUAACCUUUUUAGACCCAAUUACAUGGAACUAUGAUUUACUUAUAUUUUUAAAAUGACUCAUUUCAAAAUUUAAAUUUUGAAAGCUCGUUAAAUGGGAAUAGUGAAUACAUGUUUGGAGUCAAUAAUCGAUUCGAGGACACAAUAAACUUGGAAAAUAGGAGACUUGUACAUUAGUCUUGAAAUAGGUAUUUUUAUGUUUAAGAGUUUAAUUAUUAGUUAGUGAUACUAUCGUUAUAAGCAUUUCUUAGAAUUUUCACUUUAUUGUGCACAAAUCGGAAAUACGCGUUUUCGCGUGCGCGAUUAAUUGAGGGGCUUAAGACCUUUAUUUUGGGACUAUUAAGAGUGAAUAAUAAUAGUAUGAAUACAAGUGCAUUAAAGGUUUAGUGCACUAGUGAAACAAACUCGAGAGAAAUCGAGUACAAAACGCGUGCGCACGCGCGAGGGAGACUUGACUUUUGCUCAAUUUUGGACCACACAUUAAAGCUUCUUUUGGAAGCUUCAUUUUGAUCAAAACUCUCUCUCUCUCUUCACUCCAUUCCAGCCGGCCAAAGGAGAAGAAAAACAACCCCAAGGCUCUUCCAAUUUCUUCUUCAUUUCUUCAUCAAAUCUCCACCAAAUCACACCAAAAUUUAACCACACUUUGCUAAGUACUUGGUGAUCAUCUUAAGCUACCAAAAGAGCUUCAUUUCCAUGGCUUUUCUUGAGCAUCUUUGGACCGAAAUUUCUGCUUGAAGUCACCAACAAAAGUAAGUGAUGAUCAACCUUGAAAAUCUUGAUUUAUGGAAAUUCUAUUGCUCAUAUAAGUUCAUGCAUGCAUGUGGAUAGUUUUAUUUAUGUUAGAAAGUUGAUGUGUGGGCUCUAUGAACUCCCACUAUAGUUGGAUGGACUGAUUUGAUGAGUUAUUAUGUUAUUAAUGUUGGUUUAGUGCCUAAUCUAGUAGAAUAAUUUUGUGUUGUUGGUGGAAACUCAAAGGAUGUGAAGAGGGAAAUUUUCCCAUUUCUGCCCCUGUUAUUUCCGUGACCUUUAGUGCAUUUUUUAGUGGUUCUAAUGACUUGUUUCUAAUGUAUAUGUGUAAUAUAGGUUGUGUACGAAGUUUCAUCAAAAACUUUCAUGAUUUGGUUGGCCAAAUGAUGUGUUUUCGGAAAUCAGGAAAAACUGGAAAUUUUCCCAUAACUGCUCUAGCAGUGUUUUUGUUUUGGCUAUAACUUUUUGCUCCGAUGUCAAAAUCGAGUGCCGUUUGUGGCAUUAGAAACUAGACAUUCCCAAAUUUCCCGUUUGCAGCACAUCCUAGUUCCACCUGAGUAGUCCAUACCAAUCGUUUGAACAUGACUGUCCUAUUUCGCGUCUACACUGGAAGCUCUGUUUUGAGCAGCGAAUUGGUGCCCAAAUAUGAGCUAGUCGUGGACAGAUUUUGGAAACAAUUUCUUCAAAAAAUUGUAGCUUUAUGAAUCUAGUUUUCAAUGCCACUAAUCACACUCAAUUCCAAGUUGAAUUGAGUGAGUUGUGGCCGAAAUACGAAACUAACUCAAUGAUUUGAAACCCUCUUUUUGGCUAGUAAAUGUCUAAAUCUUGAUUGGGACUUGUUGUUUCGAAAUUCUUGGUGUUAAUCACCCUACCAAAUGCAUCUUGUAUGUUUCUUAGACAUUACCUACACAAAGGAUUGAGACAUUUUUGUUGGCCAAACGUUUUGAAAACGGAAACCUCAUGUACAAGGCAGAUUUGCCUUGCAAAUUUGGAAACUUUGGUGAUCUGGUUAAGUAACUUUCCGUGCCUAUUUUUCCAUGAAAAUUAAUAGAGGAAUAGCCCUCAUAUGGUAGUAUAAUACUGCCAAAUUUGGUGCCAUUCUGAGUUCAUUUCGAUGCUCAAACAAAGUCCCAAAGUUUGUAAAUUAAACUGGAAAUUUGCCUAACUGUCUCAAUUUUUCACCAAAUUUGAGCAGCCAUAUCUUGGUGCUCAAAACUCCAAUUCUUGUUAUGCUUGUUUUGUUUGAAACUUUGAUUGCAACUCUAAUUGAUUUUCAAAUCUGAGAGGCUAGUUCAAAUUUUGUAAAUUUUGCCGAAUUUCCAAAGUUGGCGAAAAACCAACCUCAAAACUGUCUCGCAAGCCUAAAACAGUAACUUUAAACCAAUUUUUGGAUGUCUUCCAUUGGAAAUCAUCGAAAAGUGUAUUCUAAAAACUUUUAGUACUUUGGAAGAAGCUUCCAAGGGUACCAAGUUUUUCAAUUUUGGACUUGUAAUGAGUGAGAUACAAUUUUUCAAAGAUCUUGUAUCCAAACUGAAAUUUUCGAAAUUUAAGGAAAUGGAGUUUUUGAAUUCUCCUUUCCCCCUCAAUAUCACAUGAUUGUUUUACACUUGAAUUUAGAGAUGAAAACCAGAUUUCUCUUGUGCUUUAAAACCCUACCUUUGAGCCUCGAUUUAUGAGUAAAUCGGGUUCAUUUUCAUGAAAUUUUCUUAGAUUGUACUCUAGUACAAUCUUCUUCGAUAAUUGGGGUUAUGAGUGAUAGAUUAUUAUUAAUUGCUCAAGCACUCAAGAGAACCUUCAAGAGGAUCUCACAGGAGACGCCUAACUUAUCGCUUGUACUUGCUACUUGAGUUAUUCGGUAAGUGUCAAGUGUGUGAACUAUGUGAUAUACGUGUUACGUGUUAAUUGUUAUCAAUAAUAGAACAUUUUGAAAAUGCUAAGUCGAGUGUGUACUUUAUCGCACUCGUUUUCAUUUAAGUGAAGUGUACUUGAAUUUCAUGACAUGAAAUACUUGAAUUGUUUGAAGUGACUUGUUAAGUGAAUUUAAGGGAAGUGUUUAAGUGUUUGUUUAUGCUAUGGAUGCAUAAGUCGAUCGGAGUAAAUCUCCUCGACUCAAGUGGUAAGUGGGGGACGCCCAAAUCUCACUGGCUAACCUUGAACUCAAGCCGGCAUGGGCUUAGUUGGGCUCCUUGGCGAACCAUGAGAAAACAAAAGCUUGAUUUAUUAAGAGAUCUUACUUGGCAUACUCGAGUAGUAUCGCCUCAAACAAAUGACAGGCGGGCCCGAUACAUGGGUAUGUAAGGUGAAAGGGGACAUGAUAAGUGAAGUUCUACGGACUAAACCUACCCGAUUGACAGAGUGUCAACUCGUGGAGGUUCGUGAUCGUGCAAGUGGAAAAUAGCUCCUGAGAGCUCCUAUAUCCUUGAAUUGUUUCUGUUUACUUUUCUCGCUUGAAUUGUUAUUUAUUGCAAUAUUAUUGCUCUACUUAUUAAAUUGAGAUUGUUACUUGAACGACGUGCCUACAUGUGUGUUCUUGGCCUCACGAGCGUUUUGCUCACCCUGUAGAUUUGUUUUCCUUAACAGGGAAGGUCUGGAGUGAAUCUCGGAGAAACCCCUUUUGAAUGUACUUUUGUAUUAGGGUUUUCAAUGUACUUGGCUAAACUCUAGAGUAUUGCAUAUUUUGGGAUUUGAUGUAGCCUUUGUGAACUUGAUGUAAGGAUUGGAUACUUGAUGUAUUUUGGAACUCGUGAUGUAAGUUUGAAUGUUAUUUAUGGGAGUAACCUUCCUUUCUUACUUAUAUCAUCGUGAUGGCUGGUAUUUCAUUAAGCUUGAACGGGAAUUGUCUUGAGUCCUGACGAGAAUUGGGCAGGCGUCUCGCGGAUAUCCUUUGGUUCGCCUUAGGGAGAAGUGGGGGCAUCACACACUACCCAUUACUAAUCUUUGAAAAAUUAAAGAUCAAAGGGAGUAAAAUUUGUUACCUCUUGAAGGUUUCUUGAACCCUAGGUAGAGCCAAGGUUUUUCACCAACAAUCCACCAAACCCACCACAAGAUUGCAACUUUUCUCUAGUUAGAGCAAUAUCCAAAGGUCUUGAGGGUUGGGUGUGGAUCUUUGAGCAAGAUUAAGGCCAAAGGUUGAUGUUUUUCCUUCCUCCUUUUGAGCUCCAAAUUUCGGCCAAGUAGAGAGAGAAUGUGAGGGAGUUGAAGUUUUGAUUUAUGGUGAAAAGAUAAGAAGAAUGGUAGUUUUUUGUUAGGUGAGAGAGUCAACUUUGACUAGUGGGGUCAUAUUGACAUGUACUACCAAUUCCUUAUGGUUUGCUAUACUUAAAUACUAAUUUUUCAAGGUAGUUCCUCUAACACUACAAUUACCUAUUCUUAUUAGUCUAAAAUUAAUUCUCCAAAUCUCUGAUUAGUCGUACCAGCGCGACUUUUUUGUAAAAUUUUGAUGCGUAAGCGAUAAAAAUAUAAUUUAAGUAAAAUUCACGCUAAAAUAAUAAAAUUAAAUAAUACCAAUGCAAAUAAUUUUAAAAUAGGCUAAAUUAAGAAUAAAAACAUGAGUCCUCACACCUCCUUUAUGAUUAAUUUCCCUCCAUCUAGCAUUAAUGAUGACUUGACAAUAUAAUUUUACCCUUUACACAAUUUCACCUUUACCUUUCUUAUUCAUGUUCUUCAUUUUAACCAUAAGAAAAUUGUUAAAAAAAAAAGAGUUUUUAUUCUCUCCCAAAAGGAAGUAAAAGUAAAAAAUAAAAAGGAGAGUUUUAUUCAUGAAAAUUGAAGACUUGACAUUUUUAUAAUUUCUUUUUAAUGUUUUAUUUUCACCCAUCGAAUUAAAGAGGCAUGUAUGCAUAUCUGUUCUUGCAAUAAAUAUAUUAAAAUAAAAUGGGCUAUCUCAAAUGUAUAUUUAUCAAAUCCUUUAAUCCUAUGAAACCCUAACUUAUAUAUAUGUGAAUAUGAAACAACAGAAUCAAGACAUCAAAUAAGUUGCAAAGUUGAGUUAGGAAAAAUUAUUUCAUAUUUACUUUUAAAAAUAUAUGCUCUUGAUCGAAUGAUAAAAGAAUUGAUGCGAGCCAACUUUUAUGGCUAUCUAUGCAAUUAAGUGUCAUCAAUUUUUUAUAACCAUAAAUUUUUAAGACAAGAAAAAUUAGCUCCACCUUUUUUUUCUUUUUUUUUAAAUAUCAAACUAUAUAAUUAUAAUGGCAUUUUGGAGACAUUAAAGUAAAUUUAUGUUAAAAUUGGUUAAUUUCUAUUUAUUGAUUAAGAGUAUAGGAGGCUUUUGAUGUUAUCUAAUAAACAAGAGGGGAGGUUAUUGUUAUUCUUAAAUCGAGAGGAAAGGUAUCUAAUUUUAGUAAAAACUAGAGGGAGGUUUAGUGUUAUUUACCCAUAAGUUUUUAAAUGUAAUUUUUAGCUUGCUCCUCCCCCUUUCUCUCUCUUUUUUUUUUUUUUUUUUGUUUGAGUUUUCAAGCCAUCAACUGAGACAAAAUAUGUUAGAAAUUUUUAAAAAUUCUGAACAACUUAUAAACCUCCUUUGAUUUACCUAGAGCACUUUACAAUGAAGAAAAAUUUUUUUAAUAGCAAACCCUACACUAAACAACAUUAUUUGUAAUGUUGGCUGAAUUGGAGGAGUUAUGGGGCUUAAUGCACAAUUUUGUCCAUAUUUCUCAUUGUCUAUGACAAGCUAAUCAAGCUGCUAAUAUGGUAUAUAAUCUUGCAAAGGAUCUUGCAACUCAUGUUCAAGGUGCCUUAAGGAUUGAUAGGUUGGGUCUCCCUUCAUUUAGAAAAUUUGUAAAGACAUAGUCUUUAUAUUUUUCUGUUUUUUGGUUUUUUAAUUCUCUCAUACACAUUUUGGAUGUUACGUAUAUGUUUCCCUCCUUAUUUAUUAUUUAAUCUAUUAAUAAAAUUUAGGAGUGGCGCCUCUCUCCCAUGUAUAGCAUGUGCCCUGAAAAAAAGGCAAAUCCUAUAUACGAGAGAGGGAUGCCGGUGCUUUAUUUUAUUAAUGAAGAAAAUAAUAUUUUUUGGUAGCUUGAGAAUAAUUCAAAUGAGCUUUUAAUGAUAAGUCAUUUUGGAAUGAAAAAUAUUUGCUAUUUAUAGUUGCAAUUGUAAUAUUUUGUGUCAUCAAGCUCACAACUUCUGGCUUUUUGACAUUGUUUUCUACCUUUUAUCAACAUUCUUAGAAUUUUGUAUAAUAAAGGACAAAAUAGGGUAUGUAGACACCAAAAUUUUCCAAAUUCUUCACAAAAAAAUAAUAAAAUAAUUUUUUCAUUUCUUUAUUUGUAUUUUUAUUGUUUAAGUAAUCAUUUUUAUUUUUUGUUUUUUGUGUUAUUUUGUAGGGAAAAGGAGAAAUGAAAAUGGGUCUUCAAAAUUGAAAGAAAAGGUAGAGAUUUUCUUUUGUUUCAAACCCAAUCAAACUCCCCCUAAACCCAACCAAAAAUUCCUCCCAAAGUCCAAUCAAAAUCCCAAAAAAAAAAAAAAACUAUGGGCAAAGUUUCACAAAAAUCCAAAUCAAAGCCCAAACAAAACCCAAGCCAAAACCCCCAUAAGCCCAAGGCAAAACCCCAACAAAAAUUAGGAAAAGAAAGAAAAAAAAAGAGGCCCAUUAGCCCUUUUGCUUAAAAAAAAAAAAUUCUUUGCAGCAACAAAAAACUAGCAAAUAGUACAAGAAAUGAGCUAAAUUUUCUGGAGCAAUUUACAUUGUUUUUGUUUCUUAUUUCUUUCCUCCCAAAUUCAUCAAGUACUAGGGCACAUCAUCACCAAAAAUACACUAAGAAAACAGCUGGCAAAUGGAUCUAAAGGACCAAAUAAACCAAAAACAACUUGGUUUCAAUCUCAGCCAUCAUUCUUAGGGUUGUAGCUUGUUGGUUUCAUUUAAAAGGCUGAGCAAUGAGUCGUUAGGAUUGGGGAAGAGGUUUUAGAAAAGUGGGCAGAAGCAGCAAAAGAGAAAAAAAGAGAGAAAAAGCAAGAAAAGAAAAAAUUCCGCCUACAAAAAUUUGGAAAAAAAGCUAACAAACCAGCCUAGAUCGAAGGGGCUUUUCUCCUUCAUUAUAGAUCAUAUUCCAGUUAUUGUUCUUUCUGCAUUUUUGUGAGACAGAGGGGAAUAACUUUUGUGUUGAAGAGUUUUGCCGAAAACUAUCAAAAAUUCCUCAAAUGGCAGCCCAAACUUUGCUCCUCAAAAAUUUUUCUGCAGAAAACUGAGCCAAGGUUGACUGAACAGCCAUGUUCGUUACCUGAUUCUGACCAAUUCCGACCUUCUUUUGAGGCAAUUAUUUUUUCUACACCAUCUCUACAUGUAGGGGAACAAUUUUGGUUUUGCAAACCUCCUAAAAAAACGUCAUUAAACACCUCAAAUUCAAGCUUGAAAUUGCAACUUCGUUAGUACUUGGAACACUGCAGCAAGAACUUGUUUGAUUCGUUUUCCGCAUUUGGGGAACAUUUUUUUCGAGUUUUUCCACAUUGGUUUGAGUCCUCAAACAUCUAUAGGUAAUUAUAACCCUUUCUCUCGGUUGAAUUAAUGUUUUUCAUGAGAUUUUAAGCAAUUACAUGAGUUUUUAUGGGUUUUACACCUUAGAUCUCAUUUUUCUCAUGAUUUAUAGUGUUUGAUAGUCCUAUUUGAUAUUUAAAUUAACUCAUGAGAUCAUGGAAAGCAUGUUUAUGUCAAGAUCUGACUUUAAACGCCCUUGGAAAAAAUUUUCGGCCAGAUUUUAGCCAUUUUGGCCUGAAUUUUCCAGAUUCCAGUAGAUCGAUCCACCGGAAACUUCAUACCCACCGAAAACUUCAUAUUGAUUUAACUUAUGUUCCUUUUAUUUUGUUUUUGUUUGUUAUGGUUUGAUUCUCCAAAUCUAUGUGGCCUGAUGUUUUGGUGUUUGUGGGUCUGAUUAGUUGGGCUUAUCUUUUAUUUUGCUUUGGUUUGUGCAUGGGUUUUGAUGUUCAAACCCAAUCAUUUAUUAAAUCUUGAUUCAGUAAAAUUUGGGCUGAUCGACUUUUUCUUAACAGCACUACACGGUCAUUUAGUUGGGCCGAAGUGGGUUUGGCCCAAGACACAACAAAUAAACAAAAAACAAAAAAAGGCCCAGGUUCUAUUUUGUUAUCAGAAAACAAUUUUUGUAAUUUGGCCCCUGAUCUUAUAAAUAAUUUAGGGUGGCUCUAAAAUUUUGGAUUUCUUUCAUUUAGGUCUUUAAUUUAAUUACAUUUUCAUCCUUAACUUUAUUUUUAUUCAAUUUUGACCUCUACUUGUUUGAGAAUUAUAAUUUGACCCCAAAAACUUCUCAAUUUGUAUAAUUAGGUCCCUAUUCUUUAUUAUUUCUUAAUCACAAUUGUUUAUCCUCUUUAAAUUGUUAAUCAUGCUCCAAUUAAAUGCAUCUAAUUUAUAAAUUUUAGGGAUUUUAUGUUUAUUCAUAUUUCACUAGAAUAAUAAAGUGAAGUUGCUAUAUAUUUACAUUUUCUUUAAAAUUAUUAAUUAAAUUAGUGCAUUGAUCAUUUUGUUAAUUUCGAAGUAUAAAUAGGGCAAACUCUACCUCAUUUAGUCACUACUUUAAGGGAGAUACCCUUUAUUAUUUUUAAUCCUUUUUUAUGUGCUCCUAUGUGUUUUUAUAUGUGAUUGCAUGCUUUAAGUACUUUUUCUUUUGUUCACUCAUUUUAUUCAUUUUAAGCCUUUUUUUAUUUUAUUUUAUUUAGAUGUUUGUUUGGAAGGCAUUUAAAAGCCAAAUUGUAAUAGAUAUGUUGUAUCCUCUUGCCCAAGAAAUGUAUUUAGAUAGGUGAUGUAAUAUAUAGAUUUUAUUGUUUUACCAAAAAUGUAAUUAGUCAAAUAAAUGUAAUAGAUAGGCUUAUUAUUUUCAAAAUUCCCCUUUUAGAUUGUAAGUUAGGGUCCCUAAUGUAAUAGUUAGAUUUUAUUUGCUUUGCAUGCUUGUGUGGUUAUGUGUUUUAUUUGGUUUUUUUAGAGUUUUGCGUCUAGAUAUUGUACCUAUGUAUUAUGUGCUCUAUAUACUCUGUGUUUUAUGUGUUUAUUUGCUUUAAUUACGCUUUAUAUAUUUUAUUUAUUUAUAAUGAGUGGCUGACGUCACCACACUAGUCCAAUGCUAGUUGUGGCUUUUUUCCCUGAUUUCUCAUUAGUCCAACUCUAAUGAGGACUUGUAGAAAUGGACUAGUUCAAUGCUAGACCCUUUAGGUCAUCGGUACGCUAGAUUCAUGGUUUGGUGCAACAUUUAUUGCAUCUCAUGUAUUUUUUUUUUCUAUUUUUAGGUUAUUUUCAUUUGCAUGAUUUUUUUCUACUAUUAUUUCCUUACCCUCUAUACGUUUGGACGAUUAUUUAGAAUUGUAUCUCAUUUUAGGAAAUUAGAAGUAAGUUAAUUCAUUUGCUUGAUUAGAUUAGAAGAGCCAUUCUUUGAAUGUAGGAAAUGAACGAGUAUGACUUUUUAGCUUUAACACGCUUUUACCCUCUCUAUAAGAAGGAAAAUUGUAUCACGAAUUUUAGCAUCUCGUCCCGUUAUGCUGCAUUCUUCUCUUCUAGGUCACGUGUAUUUAUCUAUAUAGCAUAAUUUUCUUUUCUUUGACUCUCAUCUUUUGCAUAUUCUUGACCUCUUUAAGGGAUUAGUUUUGAGCUUCAUAAUUAAUGUGAUUUGCACCAAUUAAAUUUCGAAGAGACAUUUUGUCCCUUUCAAUACCCCCAGGUCUAGGUUUGCAUCUAUAUAGAAGCAUCUGAAUGUGAUAAGUUCUAUAUGUUAGAUUAGGAAAAGUUUUGGCUAAAUCUUGCAACUAGUCUUGACUAGGUUGAAAAGAUGUUUUAAAUCAAAAUCUUUGCCUUCCUUUUUUCAACCGUAACUGCCGAACUUUUUUCUCUUAUUUUCGAAAAUUUGUAGUCAUUUAAAAAGGUUUUAUUUACUUUUUUCAUUUUCAAACAUUUUUUGGUAUUUUGGUACACCUAAAGUCGAUACCAAGUGACGACUCUACUUUUUUUCUAAAGACUCUUUUUAGACUAUCAAUUUGGAUCCAAAUCGUUGCAUUUUCUAUGUUCUAUUUUAGGCCCUCUUUCUUUAUUUUCUAAAAUAAAAUCAAAAACUCAUUUUUCUAAAACCCUUUUCUAUUUUUCAAAAAUGGGGCGCGACAGGGUAAGUUUGGAAUGAGAUUAUCUUCUCUCUUCAAAUGAGUUUCUAACCGUAUGCUUUGAAAUUGGUUGACAAUGCUACAUAAAAUCAAAAUUAGGGGAGCUCAGUGAUUUUUUCAAAUAUCAGAGUUGUUGAGUGAUACUAGGAAGGUUAGUAAUAUUUUCAAAAUUUAGGAGUGUUAAGUGAUAUCAUCAAAAACCUCAAUGGGUGUUUUUGGAAUUAUCCCUAAUUAUUAACCACAAACAUGUUCUCCUCUUUCAGCAAUUUAAUGGAUUUGGCUACAACAACGCUAUAUAUGAAAUAAAUUAUUGCUGGUAAAUUGUAAUUUUUUCAAAAUAUAUUUUUUUCAGUAAUAUUAUUUCAAAAUGUUUGGAAUGAAUUAUGCAAUCAAUUUCAAAGAAUCUAAAAUGGAUAACUAGUGGUGAUGUAAAGCCGGACAUGAAAGCCGUUACGGAUGAAUUUUGGCAUCAUUACCCCUCCAUUUUGCAAGAGGGACGUAAACUAAUAAAUUGGGUCCGUUUGGAUGUCUUUUUUUUUUUGGCCUGUUUUAGAAAUUCAAAAUUUGUUUAAAACACCAACUAUGGUAACGCCUAAAAUACCUACAAGUCUCAGAAAAAUACUUACAUAAAUAUAUUAAAUAAGGUAUCAGUGGCGGAGGUGGAUAGUGGUCGUGGAUGGCGGAAGUUGCCGGUGGUGGGGUUAGGGGAAGGGGUGUUUGAAACACUAAGAGGUGUUUUAGGUGUUUUGGACAAACAACAACAUUUUUUUUCUAAAACAUUUUCAGUAACUUAUCGUAAAAUUUUAGACAAAUACUCAAAAAAAAAAAAAACACCAUUCAAGCAGCAAUUUAAAAAGAAAAAGAAGAAAGAAACUCAAGUGGACCUAGAUCACGGCAAUAAUUUUCUAUUGAAGAAUAAGAAGAGGCAGCUGCAUCUCCAAAAAUUUUAAAGAUUUUAUUUGCACAAUGAAUUUUGAUCUCACUAUUGAUUUAGAAUUGGAAAAAUGGUAUUGGGUACAUCCGCAAUUGUCCAGUUGUGCUGAAUGCGGUUUUGGACAGCUUUGGGCUCAAUAUUGAUGGCUUCUUUAUUUGGACAAAAUGAGCAGCCACAGGAUUGCCCCAUAUUCACGACUCCCUUAACCCAAUAAUAAAUUAUUGCAUGUAUGAUAGGGAAGCCCCGCCGAGAAACUCAAUUUGAUACAAAAAAAACUCCAUCACUAUUCAAUUAUAACAGGAUGAACAGAUGGAAAAAUAAAAUAUUCAUUGGCAUCAGAAACUUUAAUCCUUUCCCGUGUCUAUGCAUAGGAGAAAAUAAAAUGCUUCAUCAAAUUGAUCUCUUUCUCAAUUGAUUCUCUCAUUAAUGGAAAAUUGAAAAAGGCCUUCAAUUUUUAUGUUAUAUUGCUUAACUAUAUUAAGUCCUAGUUUACAGAGAACAAACUAGUUGGCUGGAUGAAAUAAUGCGGUAUAGUAGGUGUUGCUCUUCACAUACUUUUGUUAGCAAGGUCAGAAGACUAGCAUUAUCUGUAACUGUCUAGGACAUAUGGGAAAAUCAGGAAUCAUUGUAUAUUUCGAGCUGGACAUUUUAUUGCCAGUGGGAGCCAUUGUUAACAAUAUAUGCUCUAUUAUUAGUUUAGGGUUAAUACCACUUUGUCCCCCCAAACUUUGGACGAUUAUCCACUUUAGUCCCUAAAUUUCAAAAUGAGACACUUAAGUCCCUAAACUUAUAAAUACUUCCCACUUAAGGAAAAUUGUUAACAAAUCCUGAAUGCCGUUGGUGGUUGAAGUGUCCCAUUUUAUAAGGGUUUAGGGAUUUAAGUGGGAGGUAUUUAUAAGUUUAGGGACUUAAGUGUCCCAUUUUAAAGUUUAGGGACUGAAGUGGAUAAUUGUCUAAAAUUUGGGGGGACAAAGUGGAAUUAACCCAUUAGUUUAUUACCGUACGGAAGAACGUUAGCUGCACCAAGGCAAAUUGGAACCUCGCUAUAAUGUUUGCCUACAGCAUAGUAUAGUAUUUAGUAGUAUUGUUAGUAAUAUUUUCCAAAAAAAAAAAGGCUAUAUCAGGUCCAACCUCCAAGAGUUGUUGUAAGAUUCAUUCAAUGAUAUGUUGGGUUUGUUUAGGAGAAAUAUUUGCUUUUCGAAUAUCAAACAGCAAACGAAAAUAUGAACGCUUUUAAGAACGGCAUGCAAUAUGAUAUGUCAAUACCAAAUAAGUUGAUAUCCAUUUGUUAGAUAUAAUUUUUUUUUUAUUUUGGACAAUUGCACAGCGCUCUACUGGUUAGCUAUUUGAGUAUUAGUGAACUUUUAAUUAAGAAUUUAAGAUUAAUCUUGUACUCCCUCCUUUUUUUUAUAACUGACGUUUAAGAAAUUUGAUUUUAAGUACUUUUAUCUGUCGUUUUAUUAUCCCUAUGCAGCAUUAAUUAUUUUUUUACAAUUUUACCCUUUUAUCUCUCUUUUCAUAAUUGGUGGGAGUUAGUUUGCAUUGCUUUUGGCCUAGUAAAACAGCACCAUUUAAUACUCUAGUGAGAGAAAACAUGGGUGAAUUAGACAAUUAAUGAGGGUACAAAAGGAAAGUAGUGUAUAGAUUUAAAUAAUGAAAAACUUUUCUUAAUUGGUGUGCAAAACCUUAAACGUCAGUUAUAGAAAAAGGGAGGGAGUAUAUACUAAAGUGUAUAAACUAGUGUGCAUAAAUGCAUAUUACACGUGCAAUAAUGAAAAUUUAAAUUCAAAUUGAGAUCAUGUGAUAUAUUCAUACUCGUUAGUGUAUACAUUUUUAGAUUAUAUAAAAUUGACUCUUUUAAUUACGCGCGGUGGUUGAUAUUAUCUUUCUUAGAUAAUUGUUUUGCAAUAUAUUUUUGCCCCCAAAGUUGAAAUCCGGGUAGGCAAUGUAUUUACUAUCACUUGAAAAGAUGGUUGGCAGGAUAUCACAUUGCCAAGCGAGAUUUUUUAUGAUCUUUUCUUGCACUAUACAAGUUAGCUUUGCUAGGUCUCCCACAAAUACGUACCCUACCUAACAUUUGUGGGGACUUUGAGUCUUUCACAAAUGCUAUUCUGGCAUUCGAUAGCAUGCGUCGUACAAGAAAUAUUACUUAUUUGGUGGUUGUUUAAGCUGGCAGCAACAAGAGUUUUUUCGCAGGGCUUCAAGAAAGGAGUUUUAAAGUCUAGAGGUUGAAAGACACGGAAGAGCACGCCCGCCUGGAAAUGGAAAGCACUUUACUUCACGCAUUAAAGGCAUUAGGAAAUACUAACAAGGAAAAACUCAUGGGACUAACUCGAGGAGAGACACUAGCUAUAUAAAGAACCCUCAAGGAAGAGCCACAAAAACAACAGAAAGGUGGACUAGUUCAAAGCAGCUGCUUCGAUUGUCAAAAUUUAAAGAGUGCAACUGGGACUUGCCUGCUUGAUACCACUUGCAGGGCUUUUCAAAAUUCCAAUAUCAGAUAUUUGAUUAUAACUAUAGUAGAAAAUACGUAGCAUUCUCCAAAGUUAGUAUGAGGGAUUGAGAGAUGCGUAAGAACCUUGAUAAGCAUAUUGUGAUUCGGUUGUCUAGUUUAUGAAGCUCCCUCUCCUCCAAGUUCGGCAUGGUGACCAUCAAUAGAGCAAGUCACCCUCGCAAUAUAAUACUAUUGCUAUAAAUAAAAGGAUCCUGUUACGAUAACCGUAAUUUCAAUAAAAGGCUUAACACCUUGCAUAUUGAAGAGGUGAUUUCUGGUAGGUAUCCGAACCGACCUGAAUCAGUCCUCUCUCAAGUGAGGUAUGAUAGAUUCGCUUGUCCGAAGUGAAUGGCGGAGCUUCUCCCCUGGGAUCACUCCGACGAUCAAGUCAGUAUAUUGAGGAAACAAGAAAUAAAAGGGGACGUGAACGAAACAGUGUGCUUCCUUGUUGGGAGUGAACAGGGGGUAUUUAUAGGACAGGAGUGAAGGACAGGACGGUGGGCUUAUGCUAGCGAGACCCACAUCCUGACUAUUACGGCUCUGUUCUGCAUCUACAGGUCUAAUUCUGACACUAUAGCAGUCUGGACAUGCUGACAGGUAGUCCUGUGCAGUAGCCAUUAAGAGCAUUGGUAGCUUUUUAGAUAAAGCAAUGGCCUUCAGUGAAGUGUCAGGCAGGUUGACAUCAUCCACGUGGAGCUGGGAUGACGCACCUAAAGUACAGAGGUCUUCCGUGACGUAGACUUGAGAUACAACCGAGGUCAGGGGAAGGAGUCAUGGCCCAAGGACAUCUCGUUCUGUAUGGAGGACGAGGUGGUAUGACCUCGGCCUAUCCGAAGGCCGAGGUGACCAUCCUCACAUAUCACACCAAACAGACAACUGAGACAAAUCUAAACUCCACUUGUAGUGAAUCGUACUACAGUAGUUUUUAUCGGUUUUUAUUUUACCUAUUUUGACAAAACAAAUAUAAUUAGUAGAAUCUCAAAUUAGAAUAUAAUUCUAUAUUCACUCCAUCUGGUAUUUUUCUAAUAAAAUUUAUCUUCCUUCAAAAAAUGUUAUCAUGGUCCUUUUCGUUUCUCUUGUUAAUCUAAAUAAUUGGUCAAUUUGCUCGAGGAAGUUAUCUUCUAUGUUACCAUCCUGUUGGUGAACAUGUACUUUUACAUAUCUCUUAGAUUUGUUUUGUUUGGACUCCAACCACCCAAAAAAAAUAUCAAUAAGUGAAUGAAGGGACAUUAACCAAUGGCACUUUGAACUAUAUGUCACCACCAAAUACUUUAAAUCUUGAUAGAAUAGGAGAUCAAUGGUUCAAACCUUACUUCCCAUGGCUGUGCCACUAUAUGUGACUUCUCCUAAAUCCAUACAAGCACGUAGUGUACCUAUCUAGUUUGAUGGUGGUUCAGUCUUUGUCGAUUUUUUUAAACUCUUUUGGGUCUCCUCUUAGUGUAGGCUAACACUAAAGUAGGAGUAGGAGUAAGUUAAACUAGAUUUUGCCGUUUGAUUAAAAAAAAAUGAAGGGACAUUGCCCACAAUUUUCAACAAAGAAAUUUAUAGCCACCAACAUGCUGAUUUUUCUGCUUAUAAUAAAGGGCCAUUUAGGAAAGCAGUGAUUGUCAAAAUGAAAGGCUAAAAUAAAUCAACAGUGCUUUGGGUACAAUGAAUCAAACAUGUUUGGGGACAAUUACAAAUCACAUUGCACUUUGUUUGGGAUGGGGCUCCCCCGGAGAGGGGGUGGGGGGGGGGUGGGAACUAGGGACUUUACAAUAUUAGAAAACUUGAACAUGGCAUGAGUCAUUCCGUAAGGAACAUUUAUCCAGAAACUUCAUAUUUGGUAUUCCACACUUUCGUUGUGCAUGGAAAACCAGAGGUGGAAUGCUUUGCUCAUGGUAGAAAAAAUUAUUUGGAUCAACUUCACCUUUAAUGACUGCCAACCUCUUAAAAUUAUCUUUGAAAUACCUUGAUCCCCAUGCCUUAGCUUUUGAAUAAGUAACAGUGCCAGAAACACCAUUUACACCUAAAUCAAGAUCUCUACCAUUCCAAAUAGCACCUCUUGGCCCUUUAGACACAUAAGGAGUCAUGAACUCAUAUAAUGCUCUUAUCCAAUUGAUGUUCCUUUCUGAAGAUUCACCAUUCUCAUCGUUCAUCCAUAACACCAUGUAGAGGAUUUCAAAUAUCACAUCUUUCCUAUGCGGAUAUGGACUUUCUGAUUCUGGUAUCUCGUUCAUUCUUCCACCAUAAGGCUGCAAUUCUAGGUAGAUAAAAGGAGAAUUUGCAUCCGAACACCUUUUCCAGAGCUCUUCUAAUGCCUCAUAAGGUAUGGGCUUGUAAACCAAGUCUGACUUGCCUUUGAAGUAACUAAGACGUCGCGGAUCUAUUCUGUUUUUUAGGGCGUCUGCAGUUUCCCCACUUUGAUACUCCGCGAAAUGGAGAACAGAUUCAAUCCAACUCAUCUCAAUGCAAUCUUCUUUUCUCAGGCGAAUUUUGGGGAAGCUCUCCUCCAUCAUUUUCAGGAGCUGAUCAGCUCUACCGAGGAACAAUGAACUGAAUGUUGCUUCAAUUCCUUCCCUCCCAAUGCUUGGUGAUAUUAUGAUUCUAAAGAGUAAAUCUUCACUUAGCUUGUGUGCUUCAAAUUGCCAUUUGUAAAUUAGACUUAUGGCUCCUUCUUCCAAGGUCUUAGUUAAUUUGAAAACGGUAACUAUAGGUGGAACAUGGACAAGCUUGAUUUUCCAAGCAACUAUAACUCCAAAACUUGCUCCGCCACCUCCUCUUAUGGCCCAAAAAAGAUCAGUUCCCAUCGAUUUCCUGUCUAGAACUCUACCAUUAAUAUCAACUAUUCGUGCAUCAAUGACAUUAUCAGCAGCUAGCCCAUACUUUCUGAUCAAAUUACCUACUCCGCCACCACUAAAGUGUCCUCCAAUACCAACAGUUGGACAAAGGCCUGCUGGAAAGCCAUGAAUACGACUUUUCUCUGCAAUCCAGUAAUACAAUUCGCCUAUGGUUGCACCAGACUCAACCCAAGCAGUGUUUGCUUCAAUGUCAAUGCUAACAGACCUCAGGCUUUUGAGGUCGAGCACAACAAAUGGAACUUCAGAUCUGUAUGACGUGCCUUCGUAGUCAUGCCCACCACUUCGGAUUCUGAUCUGCAAUGCACUUUGUUUGCAACACUUUACGGUGGUUUGAACAUGAGAAUAAUCUAGAGGAGUGAUUAUGGCCAGCGGUUUUGGGGUAGUAGGUGUCAAGAACCUACGAUUAUGAAUGGUAGAAUCCAAUAUAGACUUAUAGGAAGAAUUCUUGGGAACAUACAUGACAUUGAGAAUGGAAACAUUUGAAGGAGAUACCUUGUGAGAAAGGCAAUGGAUGAAACUUUGAGGAAUCAAACUUGAACAUGAACUUAAAAUCAGAUGAAAAAGAAUGGAAAUCACUAACAAAGUCUUAGAGAUUUCUGUCAACAUAUCUAUGGAUUUCUUGGACUGCGUUUGCCAUCCACAGUCCAUGAGUAGUUUUCAGACUGGCCUCAACCAUUGAAGGCAAUGUUGCUAUCUGCCUCUGCCAAAUAAUAGUUGCAGUUAGGUAGUCGCAGCCUGCUGCGCGGUAUUAAUCUCAUUAUCAAUAUUAAAUUGGUUAUGAUUGCAAAAAAAAAAAAAAAUUGUUAAACUGAUUAUUUAUUACGAUGUAAUCGUUGCAAGAUAUUUUGUCAAACUGAAAAUUAACUACUUAGGACAACGAAGAAGUAUAUGUGUUUAGCAACUGUGCUACAGUCUUCACUUGAUCGUUCCAAUUUAUCGAAUGAAGCAAGCAGAACAGUUUAUGGUUUUCCCUCAUAUAAAUAUGAACUAUGCUACAAUAUCCUUUUGCUCAAGCCUAAGAACUUAAAAAAUAAAAAAAAGCAAAUAUCUGAAAAUUUUUUAAUCAUAAUUUCAUACUCGAAUCACUUCACAAUAUGGUUUGUGUGACGAUUAAUUUUAAUGGUAAACUUAUCAAAAAUAGAAUAUAAACAGUUAUAAGGUACUGUAAAAGAGUCAAAAUACUUUAGUCAAACAGAUGCUGCCGAGACAGAGUGUAUAGCAUGUUAUUCAGUCAAGGUUUAGCGUUUAUAAUAGCGAUAAUUUCAGAAAACCUUCGAAGAGGUUUCAGACUAUUUUACUUGACUCCCCUGAAUUUUAAAUAUUACACUUAUUUCCUCAAUUUUGAGUUUUAAUGUAACAGUGUCAGCCCAAGUGCAUAAAAAAUCCAUAUAAAAUGCUAUAAAGUAUUUUUAUCACCCUUCAUGGCUUAUAAAUAAGGAUAGAACAAAAUUAACUAAAAUAAGUUCAAAAUUCAUUUCAAAGUGAAUGAUGUUUAUCUAAAAAAAAAUUAUUUGUGACAGGUUAGAAAGAGUCAUAAAUGUUUUAACAAAACAUUGUGAGAAUUAAUAUCUAAACUUUGACUUUUGAGAAUCCUUAGGGUCAAAAGAACUUGAAAUUGCAAAUUCAUCUUUAAAAAAUGGCUAUAAAUUGUAAAAGAAAAUGAAGUGACAUAUCACCCAUUAGCAGUAAUGAAGUAUGCCACAUAAUCACAGCUAGGAACAUCUAAAAAUGAAAAUCUUAAUUUGGCGAGUAUAAUUUGUUAUUUUUCUUAAGUAUUUCUAAACAUGAAAUUUUUAGGUUUGUACUUCUCUGGAUGGCUUUAUUAUGAUUUACCUCACAAUUUUACCCUAUAACAUUUUAUAAGAUCAAGUUAAAUCCUUUUUGUUGCAUUUUUCUAGUCCUGUUCUAAGUUUAUUAUAUCGGUAUGCAAGGUAAUUUGGGAAAGAAAAUACUCUUCAACCUUUCAUAUGACUUUUUUAAGGUAUAUGGAUUGAUUUUGCUACAUUGAUAUUCAAAAACCAUAGAGGAGCCAACUGAAAUUGUCAGAAAGUUUAAGAGAAGUUUAUGAAAUUAUCCAUUAAUGAUAGGUAGAAUCAAUAUUUUGUUUCUGACGAUUAAGGGCUGGUGCAGCUGUGAAUAAUCAUUAUAUUUAGGGUAAAACACACAUAAUCCCCAUGUGGUUUGGGGUAUGGUCAUCAAACUCCAUCAUUGUUUAAAAAUUUCAUUAUAGUUUGGACUAAGUUGAAAAAAUGGGCAGAAGCCAUGUGAUUUGACUGGAAAAAAAUGUAAAAUUUCUAUAUUAACCCUGUUUUCAAAUUAUUCUAAAAGUUAGUUUAGGAUUUAAUUAAGAUUUCAAACCUUUCUUGCUUCAUUUAAGACAAAAUUAAAAUUCAAGGGCUCAUUUGAAAAAUCUAAAAGUUUAUCAUCUUCUCCAACCAUGAUGUUCAAAAACCCUUCCGUAGUAGUGGUUGGGGCAAAAGCCGCCCACCAGCCGAUUUCACCGCCAGUGUCUCAAUUCAACCAAAAAAAAAAAAAAAAAUUUACACCAUCAGCACCAAUUUUCACAUAGAUCAAGAUUUUCACAUCAGAUUUGACCAAAGAUGAGUUAAAAAAUAGCGAAAUAGGCACGAACAAUGAUGAGCUUAAUCAUUACAUUCAAUCCAAAUGCAAGAAAAACCAACAAAAUGAUGAAUAACAAUCAUCCUUUGGAUCAGGAAAAUCGAUAUAGAGUACUGAUUGCACACAAAAAGCAACAGAUUUCAAUUAAUCAAAAGCAAAACACAAUACCAGUCUUAGUUUAUAUCCGAACUCCAUCCCGGUUCCUUUGGAUCCAAUUUCUGUCCGGCCUUAACA
rnacentral:lncRNA from 1 species